AUGAAGAUGUGAACAAUGAAAUAAUAAGGACUCUCAGGGCUGAAGAAGUCGGAAAAGCGUGCUCAGAAGAGUCCCAAGAUUGAAGUGAUACACUGUGAGUGACUCACUUCACUUAAAACUCACCUAUUCUAACCAUCUUCUGGAUUCCAGAAGUGCAUGCUGUUAUAUGAAAAAUAAGUUGUAGCAUUUUUCAUAUUCAAAAGAAUGUUUUUUUUUAUUAAAUUCAGUGCAUAUACUCACUUGAAAUUCAUAAAUAAGGACACCUGGGUGGCUCAGUCGGUUGAGUAUCCGACUUUGGCUCAGGUCAUGAUCUCAUAAUUCAUGAGUUCGAGCCCCACUUCGGGCUCACUGCUGUCAGCUUGUCAGCACAGAGCUUGCUUCAGAUCUCCUGUCCCCCUCUCUCUGCCCCUUCCCUGUUUGCACUAUGCCAAAAAUAAAUAAAUAUUAAAAAAAAAGAAGUUCAUAAAUAAUCCACUCAUAGGAGAACAUAUUUUAUAACUAGCUAUAGUUUACUAGGGGAAAAACUGAUAAAUUUACCCAAUGGCAUAAAUAAAUAAGGGUUGUAUAUGUGAUCAAGCUUUUGAUAAAUGCUUGAUUGGUUGUCCCACACUGUCCCAAAUUGGUUGUCUCUGGAAAGGCUUCUAGGUAAAAGCUGGUAAUGAUAAUCUCAUGUACUCUCAUACUCUGUUGCUGGAAAGUGAAUUUAGAAUAUCUCUUGUAGGGUGGUUUUGCAAAAUCAAAUGUUUUUAAAAUGUGGUAGCUUUAUAUGUAGCAGCUAGAAAUUUUAAAUUUUAAGCAAACACAUUAAUUAAAAUGGGUUAAAAGAUGAAACAUAAUGGUAUUUUUAAAGUUUUUGUUUCAAUUCCAGUUAGUUAACAUAUGGGGUAGUAUUGGUUUCGGGGAUGCAAUAUAGUGACUUAACACUCCCAUGCCACACCUGGUGCUCAUCAUUACAAGUGCACUCCUUAAUCUCCAUCACCUAUUUAACUCAUCCCCCACUCACCUCCUUUCGAGUAACCAUCAGUUUGUUUUCUACUUAAGACUCUGUUUCUUGGUUUGUCUUGCUCUCUAUUUUUGCUUUCCUCUUUUAUUUUGUUUCAUAACUUCCAUAUGUGAAUGAAAUCAUAUGGUAUUUGUCUUUCUCUGACUUAUUUCACUUAGCAUAAUACUCUCUAGCUCCAUUCCUGUUAAGGAAAAUGGCAAAAUUUCAUUCAUUCUUAUGGCCGAGUAAUAGUCUAGUGCACAUGUAUAUGUACCACUUCCUUAUGCAGUCAUCAGUUGAUAGACACUUGUGCUAUUUCCAUAAUUUGACUAUUGUAGUAAUGCUGCUAUAAACAUCAAGGUGCAUGUAUCCCUUUGAAUGAGUAUUUUUGUAUUCUCUGGGUGAAUACCUAGUGCAAUUGCUGGAUCUUAGGGUAGUUCUACUUUUAACUUUUUGAGGAACCUCCAUAAUGUUUUCCAGAGUGGCUGUUUGCAUUCCCACCAACAGAGCAAGAGGGUUCCCCUUUAUCCACAUCAUCCCCAACACUUGUUUAUGGUGGUUCUGAUUUUAGUCAUUCUGACAUGUGUGAUGUAAUAUUGCAUUGUAGCUUUGAUUUUCAGUUCCCUGACAAUCAGUCAUGUUGAGCAUCUUUUCAUGUGUCUGUUGGCCAUCUGUAUGUCUUCUUUGGAAAUAUGUCUAUUCAUGUCUUCUGCCCAUUUUUUUAAUUGGACUAUUCAUUUUUUUGGGUGUUGUGUUUUAUAGGUUCUUUAUAUAUUUGGGAUACUAGCCAUUUGUCAGAUAUGUCAUUUGCAAAUAUCUUCUCCAAUUCCAUAGGUUGUUUUUUCCUUUUGCUGUUUGUUUUCUGCACUGUGCAGAAGCUUUUUAUUUUGAUGUACUCUCAGUAGUUUAGUUUUGUUUUUGUUUCCCUUGCUUCAGGAGACAUAUCUAGAAAACUGUUUCUAUAACCAAUGUCAGAGAAUUACUGCCUGUGGUCUCUUCUAGUAUUUUCAUGGUUUCAGGUCUCAUAUUUAGAUCCUUAAUCCAUUUUGGAUUUAUUUUUGUGUAUAAUGUAAGAAAGCCCAGUUUCAUUCUUUUGCAUGUUGCUGUCUAGUUUUCCAACACCAUUUGUUGAAGAAAUUGUCUUUGGAUUGGAAAUUCUUUGGAUAUUCUUUCCUGAUUUUUUUAAAUGUAAUUGACCAUAUAGUUGUGAGUUUAUUUCUGAGUUAUCUAUUCUGUUUCAUUGAUCUAUGUGUUUAUUUUGUGCCAGCACCAUACUCUUUUGAUUACUGUAGCUUUGUAAUAUAACUUUAUGUCCAUAAUUAUGAUUCCUCUAUCUCUGCUUUUCUUUUUCAAGACUGCUUUUCAGGGUCUUCUGUGGCUCCAUAUAGAACAAUAUUGUUUGUUCUAGCUGUGUGAAAAUACUGUUGGUACUUUGAUAGGGAUUGCAUUAAAUGUAUAGAUUGCAUUAAAUGUAUAGAUAUGUUGCUUUGGGUGGUACAGACAUUUUAACGAUAUUUGCUCUCCAAUCCAUGAACAUAGGAUGUCUUUCUAUUUUAUUUGUGUCAUCUUCAAUUUCUUUCAUCAGUGUUUUAUCAUUUUCAGAGUACAGAUCUUUCACCUCUUUGGUUAGGUUUAUUCAUAGGUAUCUUAUUGGUUUUGGUACAAUUGUAAAUGGGAUUGAUUCCUUAGUUUCUCUUUCUGUUGCUUACAUUAUUGGUGUAUAGAAAUGCAACAGAUUCCUGUAUGUUGAUUUUAUAUCCUGAGAAUUUACUGAAUUUGUUUAUCCAUUCUAACAGUUUUUGGGUGGAGUUAUUCAGUUUUCUGUAUAGAGUAUCAUGUCAUCUGAAAAUGGUGAAAAUUUUAUCUCUUCUUGUUGAUUUGUAUGCUUUUUUAUUUUUAUUUGUUGUCUGAUUGCUGUAUCUAGGAUUUCCAGUACUAUGUUAAAUAAAAGUGGUGAGAGUGGACAUCCCUAUCUUGUUCCUGACCAUAGUGGAAAAGCUCUCAGAUUUUCCACAUAGAGGAUUAUAUUAGCUGUGGGUUUUUCAUAUGUGGCCUUUAUUGUGUUUAAUUAUGUUUUCCCUAAACCUACUUUUUUUGAGAGUUUUUACAUAAAUGGAUGUUGUACUUUGUCAAAUGCUUUUUCUGAAAUGCAUUUAUUGAAAUGAUCAUAUGAUUUUUAUCUUUUCUUUUAUUAAUGUGGUGUGUCUCAUUGUUUGAUUUGCAAAUAUUGAACCACUCAUGCAACCCAGUAAUAAAUCCCACUUCAUCAAGGUUAGUGAUUUUUUAAUAUAUAUUCUUGGAUCAGUUUGCUAGUAUUUUAUUGAGAAUUUUGCAUCCAUGUUCAUCAGAGAUUUUGUCCUGUAGUCUCUUUCUUAAUGGAGUCUUUGUCUGGUUUUGGUAUCAGGGUAAUGCUGGUCUCAUAGAACGAAUUUGAAAACUUUCUUUCAUUUUCUGUUUUUUGGAAAAGUUUAAAAAGAGUAGGUUUCUUUAAAUGUUUAGUAGAAUUUUCUUGUGAAGCCAUCUGGUCCUGGACUUUUGUUUUUUGGGAGUUACUGAUACAGUUUCUUUGCUGGGGAUAUAAAAUGUACAGAAAUUGGUUGCAUUUCUAUACACCAAUAAUGAAGCAACAGAAAGAGAAAUCAAGAAAUUGAUCCCACUUACAAUUCCACCAAGACCCAUAAAAUACCUAGGAAUAAGCCUAACCAAAGAUAUAAAAGAUCUGUUAUGCCGAAAACUAUAGAAAACUUAUGAAACAAAUUGAUGAAGACACAAAGAAAUGGAAAAAUAUUCCAUGUUCAUGGAUUGGAAGAACAAAUAUUGUUCAUAUGUCAAUACUAGCCAAAGCAAUCUACACAUUCAAUGCAAUCCCAAUCAAAAUUGCACUGGUAUUCUUCUCAGAGCUAGAGCAAACAAUCCUAAAAUUUGUAUGGAAUCACAAAAGACCCUGAAUAGCCAAAGUAAUGUUGAAAAAGAAAACCAAAGUGGGAGGCAUCACAAUCCCAGACUUUAGCUUCUAUUACAAAGCUGUAAUCAUCAAGGCAGUAUGAUAUUAGCACAAAAACAGACACAUAGACCAAUGGAAUAGAAUAAAGAACCCAGAAUUGGACCCACAAAUGUAUGGCCAACUAAUCAUUGACAAAACAGGAAAGAGUAUCCAAUGGAAAAAAGACAGUCUCUUUAGCAAAUGGUGCUGGGUGAACUAGACAGCAACAUGCAGAAGAAUGAAACUGUAACACUUUAUCACACCACACACAAAAAUAAACUCAAAAUGGAUAAAAGACCUAAGUGCGAGACAGGAAACCAUCAAAACCCUAGAGGAGAAAAACAGGCAACAACCUCUGUGACCUCAGCCACAGCAACUUCUUACUCAACACUUCUCCAAAGGCAAGGGGAAAUAAAAGCAAAAAUGAACUAUUGGGACCUCAUCAAGAUUAAAAGCUUCUGCACUGCAAAGGAAACAAUCAACAAAACUAAAAGACAACAGAUGAAGUGGGAAAAGAUAUUUGCAAAUGACAUAUCAGAUAAAGGGUUAGUAUCCAAAAUCUAUAAAGAAUUUACCAAACUCAAUAUCUGAAAAAAAAUCCAGUGAAGAAGUGGGUACGCUCACCACUUCUUUUCCAAAGAAGACACCUAGAUGGCCACAGACACAUGAAAAGAUGCUCAACAUCGCUCAUCAUCAGGAAAAUGCAAAUCAAAACCACACUAAAAUACCACUUCCCACCUGUCAGAGUGGCUAAAAUUAACAACUCAGGAAACAAAAGAUGUUAGCGAGGAUGUGGAGAAAUGGGAACCCUCUUGCACUAUUGGUGGGAAUGCAAACUUAUGCAGCCAAUCUGGAAAACAGUGUGGACGUUCCUCAAAAAUUAAAAAUAGAACUACCCUACUACCCAGCAAUAGUACUACUAGGAAUUUAUCCAAAGGAUACAGGAGUGCUGAUUCACAGGGGCACAUGUACACCAAUGUUUAUAGCAGUGCUUUCAACAAUAACCAAAUUAUGGAAAGAGCCCAAAUUUCCAUCAACUGAUGAAUGGAUAAAGAUGUGGCCUAUAUAUACAAUGGAAUACUCCUUGGCAAUGAGAAAGAAUGAAAUAUUUCCAUUUGCAACAAUGUGGAUGGAACUGGAGGGUAUUAUGCUAGGUGAAAUAAGUCAUUCAGAGAGGGACAGAUAUCAUAUGUUUUCAUAUGUGGAAAGAUCAUAGGAGAAGGGAAGAGGGAAGAAAAUAGUUUCAAACAGAGAGGAAGGCAAACCAUAAGAGACUCUUAAAUACAGAAAACAAACUGAGGGUUUAUGGGAGGGUCAGGGGAGAGGGGAAAAUGGGUGAUGGGCAUGGAGGAGGGCACCUGUUGGGAUGAGCACUGGGUGUUGUAGGUAGGCGAUGAAUCAUGGGCAUCUACUCCUAAAGUCAAGAGCACACUGUAUACACUGUAUGUUAGCUAAAUUGACAAUAAAUUAUAUUUAUAAAUAAACAAAAAAAUAAAAUUUAUUUGCUGGUUAUAAGUCUGCUCAAGUUUUCUAUUCCUUCCUUUUUCAGUUUUGGUAGUUUAUAUGCUUGUAGAAAUUUAUCCAUUUCUUCUAGGCUGUCCAAUUUGUUGGCAUAUAAUUUUGCAUAAUAUUCUCUUAGAAUUGUUUUUAUCUUUCUGCAGUGUUGGUUGUUAUUUGUGAUUUCACUUAUUUGAGUCUUUUUUAUUUUUGGUAAGUCUGGGUAGAGGUUUAUAAAUGUUAUUAAUUUUUUAAGCAAGUGCCUGGUUUCAUUGAUAUGUUCCAUUGUAUUUUUAGUUUCUAUAUUUAUUUCUAUUCUAAUCUUUAUUAUGUCCUUCCUUCUGCUGGUGUUACCUUCAUUUGUUGUUCUUUUUCUAGCUCCUUUAGGUGUAACACUAGGUGGCUUAUUUUCUUUUUUGUUUUUUGAGGUAAGCCUGCAUUGCUAUAUGCUUCCCUCUCAGGACUGAUUUUCCUGCAUCCCAAAGAUUUGGGGCUGUUCUAUUUUCAUUUUCAUUUGUUUCCAUGUUUUUUUUUCUAUUUCUUCUUUGAUUUCCUGGUUGAUCCAUUCAUUUUCAGUAGCAUGUAUUAGUGGUCUUCCCAGAUUUUUUCUUGUGGUUGAUUUCUAGUUGCAUAGUGUUGUGGUCAGAAAAGGUGCAUCGUAUGACUUCAGUCUUUUUGUAUUUAUUGAGUCCUGUUUUGUGAUCAGACAUGAGAACUAUUCUGGAGAAUGUACCAUGUGCACUUGAAAAGAAUGCAUAUUCUGCUGCUUUAGGGUGGAAUGUUCUUAGCAUAUCUGUUAAAUCCAUCUGGUCCACUGUCUAAUUCAAAGCCAUUGUUUCCUUAUUUAUUUUCUGUUUAGAUGAUCUGUCCAUUGAUGUAAGUGGAGUGUUAAAUUCCCCCACUAUUAUUGUAUUAUUAUCAAUUAGUUCCUUUAUGUCUGUUAUUAAUUUAUAUAUUUUGGUGCUUGGGAGCACCAAAUGUUGCUAUGUUGGGUGCAGAAAUAUUUACAAUAGUUAUACCUUGCUGUUGGAUUGCCCCCUUUAUUAUUUUAUAGUGCCCUUCUUUGUCUCUUGUUACAAUCUUUGAUUUAAAGUCUAGUUUUUCCUUUUUUUUAAGUUUAUUUAUUUAUUUAUUUAUUUAUUUAUUUAUUUAUUUUUGAGAGACAGAGAGAGAGAGAGAAAGAGAGAGAGCACAAUCUGGGGAGGGGCAGAGAGAGAGGGAGACAAAGAAUCUGAAGCAGGCUCCAGGCUCUGAACUGUCAGCACAGAGCCUGACGUGGAACCUGAACCCAUGAACUGUGAGAUGAUGACCUGAGCUAAAGUCAAAUGUUCAAGUGACAGAGCCACCCAGGUGCCUCUAAAGUCUAGUUUUUCCAGGGGUACAUGGGUGGAUCAGUCGGUUAAGCAUCCGACUUCAGCUCAGGUCAUGAUCUCACAGCACGUGAGUUUGAGCCCCAUUUCAGGCUCUGUGCUGACAGCUUGGAGCCUGGAUCCUGCUUUGGAUUCUCUGUCUCCCUCUCUCUCUCUCUCAAAAAUAAAUAAACAUUAAAAAAAUACCUUUAAAGUCUGGUUUUUCCAAUAUAAGUAUUGCUACUCCAGCUUUCUUUUGAUGCCCAUUUGCAUGAUAAAUGUUUUUCCAUCCCUUCACUUUCAAUCUGGAGGUGUCUUUAGUUAUAAAAUGAGUAACUUGUUUUCUUUUGUUUGUUUGUUUUUGUUUUUGUUUUUAAUUCAUUCUGACACCCUAUGUCUUUUGAUCGGUUUAGUCCAUUAACAUUCAAAGUAAUUAUUGAUAGAAAAUAUUUAUUAUAAUUGUAAUUUACUAAAUUAUCUAUUUAUUAUGUAUUUAUUUCCAUUUUAUUACUUGUUUUCUCAUUUUUUUCCGAUCCUUUCUUAUCUUUGGUCUCUCUUUUCUAAAAUUUUUUUUUAACAUUUAUUUAUUUUUGAGAGACAGAAAGAAAAAGAGUGUGAGCAGGGGAGGGGCAGAGAGAGAAGGAGACACAGGAUCUAAAACAGGCUCCAGGCUCUGAUCAAGCUGUCAGAUUAGAGCCAGACAUGGGGCUCGCACCCAGGAACCAUGAGAUCAUGACCUGAGCUGAAGUCAGACGCUUAACAGACUGAUCCACCCAGGCACCCUUAGUCUCUCCUUUCAACUCAUAGUCACCUUUAAUAUUCUUGCAGGGUUGGUUUUAUGGUCAUGAACUUCUUUAGUUUUUGUUGGUCUGGGAAACACUUUGUGUUCCCUUCUAUUUUGAAUGAUACUUACUGGAUAGAGUAUUCUUGCUGCAGAUUUUUCCCAUUCAGUACUUUGAAUAUAUCAUGCCAGUCCCUUCUGGCUUGCCAUGUUUCUGUUGAGAAAUCUCCAGGUAGCCUUAUGGAUUUUCCUUUGUAAGUUAAGGACUUCUUUUUUCUUACUACUUUUAGGUUUUUUUUAUUUAUCACUAUAUUUUGCAAAUUUAAUUACAAUAUGUCUUGGUGUUGUCCUGCUUUUGUUGAUUUUGUUGGGAGAUCUCUGUGCCUCCUAGAUCUGGAUGUCUGUUUCCUUCUCCAGCUUAGGGAUGUUUUCAGCUAUUAUUUGUUCAAAUAAAUUUUCUGCCCCCUUUUCUUUCUCUUCUUCUUCUAGGACUCCUAUAAUAGGAAUGCUAUGACAUUUGAAGGAGUCACUAAGUUCCCUAAGUCUAUCCUUGUCUUGUGUAAUUCUUUUUUCUCUUUUUUCCAUCUUGAUUACUUUCCAUGACUAUGUUCUAGGUCACUAAUUUGGUCAUCUGCUUCUUCCAGUUUGCUGUUCAUUGCAUCAGGCCUGUUUCUAAUCUCGUUUAUUGUACUCUUCAUCUCUGAUUCUUUUUUAACUCUUUUAUCUCUAAGGUAAGGGUCUGACUCAUGCCUUCUUUUCUCAAGUGCAGUGAGCAUCUUUUUGAUUGUUGCUUUAAAUUCUCUAUCAGGGAUGUUACUUAUAUCUGAUUUGCUUAGAUAUCUGCCCAUGACCUUAUCUUGUUCUUUUAUUUGAGAUAAAUUCCUCCAUCUUGUCAUUUUGUCUGAGUUUCUGCCUUCUUCUCUGUGUUAGAAAAACCAGUUAUGUCUCCUGUUCCUAAAAGUAAUGGCUUUAUGUAGAAGAAGUCAUGUAGUGCCUAGGGCCUGGUGGUUCAUCAAGUGUUUUUGGUGUGUACUGUGUGUGCUCUGCUUUUGUUUUUUGGCUGCCUUAUCCUUCAAUCCAAUUGUCUAUAGUGGGUCUUCUUGCCUGCUGUGAGCAGUGUUUGGUGCCUGGCUUAUAUGUGAUGAGUUUUACUAGGUGUGCUCUGGUCUGCUUGUGAAAUGAGACCUGACACCAACUCCACCAGAACUGAGUCCCUGUAGAACUCUCUGGUCAGGAGAUGUGGUGUGGACAGGGUUUUGUGUUGGUCUCUUGGGGUGGGGCCCACUGCACUGGUAUUGAGGCAAGUGUGACUGAGAAGGGCAGUUCCACCAAAGUGUAGGGGUGUGGGGUUUGGUGUAAGCAAGUUGGGAAGCCAAUGUUGGGUGCUGCACUGUUUCCUGCAGGUUGUUGAGCUUAUGCUGAGGGGUGGGAGAGGAAAACGUCUCAAGCCAACUGCUUUGUUCCUAGAGAGGUGUCUCUAUGAAUGUUGCCUUUCAGGGAAGCACUCAUAUAAUAGCAAAUACUCUGCCCUCUUUGGCACCAGGCAUUUUUCAGAUCACUGUUUCCAUGCUAUCUACAUCUAGGUUGUUUGCCUGCCUUCUCUCCAUGAGCAGGGCAGUGCUUUCCUGGAUCUAUCCCAUCCAAGCCUGCUGACCUUUAAAACUCCAGACUUUGGGGCACCUGAGUGGCUUAGUUGGUUAAGUGUCUGACUUCGGCCCAGGUCAUGAUAUCAUAGCUCAUGGGUUCAAGCCUUGUCAGGCUGACAGCUCAGAGACUGGAACCUGCUUUGGAUUCUGUUUCUCCUUUUCUUUCUGUCCCUCCCCCCAUGCUCUCUCUUUCUCUCUCUCUCAAAAACAAAUAAACAUGAAAAAAAAAUUAAAAAAUAAAUAAAACUCCAGACUUUAAGCCUCACUGGUUGCAAGACCUGAUGAAAUUCAGCCCUUUUCAUUUUCCAAGCCAGUGGCUUUGCAGAAACAUUCUCCUUGUACAUUCCCCUGUGUGCUCCUCUCUCUGUCUCCUCCAUCUCCAAGACCACAUCUCCCUUGCCUCUGUAGUACCCAUAAUCUGUUUCUCCCCUAAACCACAUCUCUGCACUUCCUACCUUAUUUCAUGUGGCUUCUUCUCUCUCUUUGGUUGUGAAGUUUGUUCUAUCAGUCUUUAGGUCAAUUUUGGAGGUAUUUAAGAUAUUUUGACAGCUAUCUAAUUGUAUUUAUGGGGUGAGGCAAGACUUGUAUCCUCCUACUCCACCACCAUCUUCCUUUCUCUCCAUAAUGUUAUUUUUAAUGGAUAAAAAUCAGAAAUUAAUGUUCAUUAAGAAGUAUUACAUACAUCUGUAUAAUAAUGAAACACCAUGGAACGAUUUAAAUGUUUGGAAAAAUAUGUACAUAAAAAGAAAGUUCUGAAGUAUCAUAUUAUAAAGACACAAUAUAAAACAUUUUUUUUUAAUUUGGAAAGUUAUGUGUCAUUAAUGACAUCUGUAUAUGAUUGAUGGGAUAAUUUGGAUUUAUUUUUCUACUUGUUUUUGAAUAAAAGAAUUUUUUAAAUUUUCAUCUCAUUUUUGAGAGAGAGAGAUAAAGAGAGAGCACAAAUGCAAGAGAGCCAGAGAGAAAGGGAGGUACAGAAUCUGUAGCAGGCUCCAGGUUCUGAGCUGUCAGCACAAAGCAUUAAGUGAGGCUCGAACCCACAAACUGUGAGAUCAUGACCCAAUAUGAAGUUGGAUGCUUAACCAACUGAGCCACCCAGGUGCCCCUUAUUUUUCUACUUUUAAUUUUUAUAGUUUAUGUAAUUAGCACUUAUUACUUGUAUAACCAUGGAAACAUAGAAAUAAAAAAUAUCCCAGAAGAAAAUGUGUAUUCAUUCAUACAUACAAACAUACACAUACAGAUGCACAACAGGGAAGGAAGAAAUAAGAGGAGGAAAGGAAUGAGUAGAGUUGAAAUACAGUGAUGAUGAAAAGCCUUAUAUGACCACAAAUUAGGAAGUAAAAUUCUUUCAAUUAGCUCCUGCCCCUAUUCUGAAAACAGGAGGAUGUAAUCACUUUUGUGGUAUGUCCACUACAUUUUCAAGUAUUCUGACAAUGUUGGGAGGUUGUGUACCUCAUUUUCCAAUGAAUUUCUUGGUGGAAUUUCCAGCACCCCCACUUGAUUGAUGGCAGUUCUGCUCUUAUUUUCUUUCCAUACUGGUUUACUUCAUAAUUGGCAAUGUCCCUGUUCCUUUGCUCCAAUAAGUGUGGGCUUUGAAUAGCUAAUUUUCUCAACCUCGUGAAAAGAGAGGAGGAUUGUAUCACAGAAACACUAAGUAUUGAUAUUUGACUUCAUUGUUCUAAAAUUUGAUCACAGAGAAUUUUUCUGAAGCAAUACUUUUCAAACUCUUUCCUGGUAUCCAUUUUCCUGGCUUCCUCCUUUUCACUCUUCUUCACCUUUCCCUUCUUCAAGCAUCUUUUAAAUACCUGUCUUUUCAAUUAAAGAGAAGAUUUUCAAAUUCAUUUUCUUCAGUAAUCUUAUGCCCAGAUUUUCUCAGCAAAUAUAACUAAAAAAAACCCCCAAAAAACAUAGAAAGUUUUUUCUAGUUCUAUGGGCUCAAAAUAGAGCCAGCUUCUGAAGUAGCACCUUUUCCUACAUGUUUCCUCCAUGCUUUUAUAAAUUUUAUAAAAACAUGAAAGCUUUAUGAUACAACAAAUAUAUAUCAUUAACUACUUUUGAGUGAUAAAACAACAUAAGAUAAAUACAAAAAUGUUAGUAAUGGUUUGUAGUAAAACUAGUUGAUUUAAUUAAAGAUACUAUGAGAAUUUUUUGGCUGUAAAUUGAAAAUGAAUUUAACUGUAAGUACUGAUGGACUCUGAGGAAGAACAUGACUCAAUAAAGGGCCUAAGCAUGAACAUAAAUCACAAAUUGAAAUAGUUGUUUAGGAUCUACCAACAAUUUUUAUUGUUAAGCCUGAAAUUUUUAGAAAAUGGAAGUUAAUAAAAAUAUGAAAAUGGGCGCCUUAAUUUAUAAAUGUAUAUUUAAAUAUUAAUUAAACAAAGGACUUUAAUUUUUUCUAGAGAACAAAAAACCUAGGUAAAUAUAUAUAAAUUUUCCUUUAUUUACACAAAAUAUAUUCCCAGUGUUAUUGUGUCCUAUAAUCAGAUUCCAUUCCAUGUUUACCAACAAUAAUAAAUAUAACCAAAAAGGCAAAAUGGGAAUGCAUAUUUAAUAUUAAAGCAAAACAAAACAAAACACCUCUAAGCUCUUUUUCAUAGGCAUGUAUAUGGAGCCUUCCUGCAGACUUAUUUAUACAGUAAACUAGUCUGAGCACAACAGCUUUUGAAGGCCUCCCAUUGGAAGGUGAAUCGAAGUGAACAUUCGUACCUUCAAAAUGUGACAGAGUCCCAAAAUGAAAACUUUAAAGCAUUGGAUUGCCUCUUAAAAUUCUGCCUAUCAAAAUUAUUUUACUAUAAGUGAGUUUUUGUAGACAUUCAUUUUGAAAUAAUUAUAGAUUCACAAGACGUUGCAUAGAAAUGUACAAAGUUCUGUGAACCCGUCCCCAUGUUCCUAAAUCUCCCCAAUGUUAAUGUAAUGACACAUUUGUAAUACAGUAUUAAAACCAUGAAAUUGAUAUUGGCAUAAUUUAUAGCACUUAUUCACAUUUCAGCAGGUAUACAUGCACUUGUGUGUAUAUGUAUGCAAUUUUAUUACAUGUGUAUGUAGCCUUGUUAUCUCCAGGAAAAUCAAACACUUGUACCAUCACCAAAAUAUCGCCUCAUGCUCUCUUUAUAGCUGCAUAUAUCCCUCACCUCUAGCCCUUGGAAACCACUAAUAGAUUAUUUUCCAUUUAUGUUUUAUGCUAUUUCACAAUGUUACAUAAGUGGAAUUAUGCAGUAUGUACCCUUUUGAGAUUGGCUUUUUUCAUUCAACAUAAAUUCCUUGAGGUUCAUCCAAAUUUUAUAUAUCUAAAUAUAUAUCUAUCUAUAUCUGUAUAUCUAUAUAUAAUUUGUUUUUAUUGCUGAGUAGUAUUCCGUGGUAUUAAGGUACCACAAUUUGUUUAACCAUAUCACUCACUGAAGGAUAUUUGAGCUUUGGGCUAUUACAAAUAAAGCUGCUAUGAACAUUUGUAUACAAAUUCCUGUGUGAAAAUAAUAUUCAUAUCUUUGGAGUAAAUGCCCAAGAGUACAGUUUGGGGCCAUAUAUGGUAAGUCAGCUUUCAUCAUUAAUUUUUAAAGAUAUGUGGUUUAUGACCACUCUAAUUACAUGUCCAAGUUAUCCAACAACAACAACAAUAACAACAACAGAAACAGGAUGAAUCAGAUCCAGUUUUAUAAUAAAUCUCUUUAAAAAGAAAAUAUUAGGACACACAAAAAUAUUCCACAUAAACACGAAACAUCGUAAAAUGGUCAAUGAGAUGUUGAAUAAAUAAAAAAGAAUGUCUGAAGGAGACAGUUUUAAAAAUCAAAUCAAUAAAUUUAUAUAUAAAUCUAUAAUAAUAUACUUUAUAUUUAAAUUCAAGUAUCUUAGUGGAUAACUAGUUAUCUUAAUGAAAUAAUAUCACACAAACUUGUACUUCCUUGAUUUACUCAAAAAUAUAUUCUUCAAACUUAUUCUCUCUUCUUAAAAAAAAAAAAUGUUUUAGACUCUUAACACUUAUACCCGAAUGAGUAACUCAUAUCACUUCGUCCCAAACUGACAUUUCAAAAGAUGAGUUCAAAUACAUUUGCAGAGAUAUUUUUGAGUUCAUUCAAGCUGAGCAGUGCUUCUUAUCUUUUGAAAUGUCAGGCGGCUGGUCUGAGGAAAAUGGAAACAGAUUUCUUUUUUAACAUCACACAUGUGGGCAUAGGAUUAUGACUUGGUUUCUCCAACCACACUGUUGGAAAAAUAUCAUAUUUAUUUGUAAACAAAGGCCUUUCUUUUCCAGAAGAAAGAAGAAAGAAAGAGAGAGAGAAAGAGAGAGAGAGAAAGAAAGAGAAGAGAAGAGAAAGAGAGAAAGAGAGGAAUAAAGAAAAGGAAAAGCAAAAAUCAGCCAUUUUAAUUAAUUUGUAUUGGGAGUUUUAUCUGAAGUUCCUUUUUUGUAUCUUUCCAUUUUGGAUUUCUAAUCACUUUAAGUAGGUUAAAACUUGUAUUAUCAUGCAGUAAUGUAGUAGUAUGAAAAUUCAAAACCUCUGUAAUGUAGACCAAAUAUAGGAUUUUUGAAACCUAAAUUUGACAUUAAACGUAUAUUUAAAUUGCAAAAAAAUAUAUAAAAUAUUCGUAUAACCUUAACCCCACAUGAAUAAAUAUUUACAGAACCCUUUAUUUUCCUAAAAGCAUUAAAAAUACUGAUGAACUUGUGCACUGUAUAUAGGUAGCAGAUUGAACACAUGCAUCCACUUUAGAUUGCCUCUGAAACUCUACUAAAAUUACUAGUAAAAGGAUUUACAAAAUUAGUAAUGGAUCAAAAUACAAACACAAAGUCAUAAGGAGAAUGAAAACAAAAAAGGAGAUAACAAAAAUAUUUUGGAAGAUGGACUAUAUUUGGAUGAGGGAUAAAUAAUCUAAGAGGCCCAAGAAAGUUGAAGCCUAAGCAGUAGUGAGGGAAAAAAAAUAAGCAGUCAAUUUUCUCUUCAAAAUUUUAUCUCAUUUUACUUAACAUACAGGGUUAGUUUCAGGUGUACAAUAUCAUGAUUCAACAAUUCCAUACAUCAUUCAGUGCACAUCACGACAAGUGCACUCCUUAAUCCUCAUCACCUGUUUAACCCACCUCCCUUCUAAUAACCAUCAGUGUGCUCUCAAUAGUUAAGAGCCUAUUUCUUGGAUCCUUUCUAAUUCUUUUUUCCCCUUGUUCAUUUGUUUUGUUUCUUACAUUCCACAGUUGAGUGAGAUAAUGUGGUAUUUGUCUUUCUCUGACUGGCUUAUUUCGCUUAACAUUAUACUCUGUAGCUCCAUACGUGUUGCAAAUGGCAAGAUUUCAUUCUUUUUACGUAAGCAGGCUGAUUUUUCCUCUGAAUCCAAAGAAGACUCUGAAAUUUAUGGCAUUAGAUAACUCUGAUAGUGGAAUAAUGGAACAAAAAUAUGACUUUCAAUUGAAAAUGUGUUUUGAAAAGAAUCGGAUUUCCAGAUCCUAUUCCCUAAUCUGUGCUGUUAAGUAUAUUUCCCUCUACCUUACCUCACUGAAAUCUGGAAUUUUAUUCUCUGAAAAAAGUUAAACAGAAGUCCCUGUUCUAGUUUAUAUCAGUAUGAGUGAAGAUAAGAAUAGUGUCCUGCAUAUUAUGUAUUAUAUUAAUUGUUUAAUAUUAGAGGCAACAAAUUGCCUCAACACUCAGUUAAUUGAAACAACAUUGAUCGCUUCAAGGAUUCUGUAGAUUUGGAAAUUGGACACAGCUUAGUUGUAUUGUGUGAAUUAUGUCUCUCAGGAGCUGAAAUCGAGGUAUUGGAUGGAGCUAUAGUUAUUUUGAUACUCAACUGGUGAAGGACCUACUUCUGAACUCACUCACUUUGUUGUUGGCAGGAUUUGGUUCCUUGUGGCCUCUUUGUCAGAGACUAUCCUGAGUUCCUCACCAUGUGAGUCUCUUCCACAUUACAUCUUACCUCAUCGAUGUGAGCAAGUGAGAAGGUAAAAGAUUGUGUAAGCAAGAAAAGAGAUAAUUUUUACAACCUAAUUUCCAAAAUUACAUUCUAUCACUUUUGCCUAUUCAAUACAUUAGAAGCAGUCACUAGGUCAACCUACACUCAAGAGGAAGGAAGUACACAGAAUAUGAAUAUCAAGUGAGGUAAGGGAGACAUCUUAGGAAGUAUGGCCACUACACAUGACUUUUGUGUAUGGAACUCCAGAACUGCCAGACUUCCUUGACCACUCUGUUUUAAACCUAUGAAACAGGAACAAGACAUAAAAACAGAGUAGUAAAAAAAAAGGUUUUGAAAACUAAAUAUAAUUGAAAUGAAAACUCAACAGAAGGAUUGACGAGACAGUGAAGAAAAUGAAGCAAGGAAAAGUGUAAGGUAGCAGAGUAAAUAUAAGAAAUCCAGAGGACUUGCUGGAAAGCCAAACCUUCUAAAAUAAUAAUUCCAGGGGCACCUCGGUGGCUCAGUUAGUUAAGCGUCUGACUUCAGCUCAGGUCAUACAUAAUCUUGCAAUUCAUGAGUUCAAGCCCCACGUGGGGUUCUGUCCUGACAGCUCAGAACCUAAGCCUGCUUCAGAUUCUGUCUCCCUCUCUUUCUGCCCCUCCCCUGCUCACACUCUGUCUCUCUCUCAAAGAUAAAGAAACAUUAAAAAUUUAAAAAAAAUAAAAUAAUAAUUCCAGAGGGGAGAAAAGAUAAUGAAAGAAAAUCAUCCAAGAGAUAAUUAAAUUAAAACCUAUAAAUAUUAAGGAUACAAGUCUGGAUACUGAAAGCUCACAACCCAUACCAAGGAAUCAGUAAAAUGACUAAAAAUAGGUUUAGGCAAAGACACAGGGCAUUUCAGGACAAUGAUGAAAAAAAAAAGAAGAAGAGUCUAUUAGCUACUAAAAGGAGAGAGAAAAACAUUACAAAAGAUACAUAAAAAUUCAGGAAUUGGAAUUACUUUUGUUAUCUAUUGUCUAUUAUUUUAAUUUAUUUUUUAUUGAAGUAAAAUUAACAUGCAAUCUUAUAUUAGUUUCAGGUGUACAACAUAUUGAUUCAAGAAUUCUAUACAUUAUUCAGUGCUCACCACAAUAGGUGUAGUCAUUGGUCAUCAUACAACAUUGUUACAAUAUUAUUGAGUAUAUUCUCUAUGCUGUACUUUUCAUCUUUGUGCCUUAUUUAUUUUAUACCUCUAAGUUUGUAACUCUUAAUCAUCUUUAUCAAUUUCACCCAUUCCACCACCACCUCCCUUAUCUAUUUCACCCAUUCCACCACCGUCAGCUCUCUGUAUUUAAGAGUGUGUUUGUUCACUUGUUUUAUUUUUUAGAUUUCACAUAAAAGUGAAAUCAUAUAGUAUUCGUUUUUCUCUGACUUAGCUCACUUAGCUUAAUACCUUUAAGUGUGUGAAUACCAACACUGGUAAAUAGAACAAAAUGGAGCAAUGUCUUCAAAACUUGUAAGAAAAAAUAUUUCCAAUCUGAAAUUUUACAUCCAGCUGAAUUAUCAAUAUGUGUGAAGAUCAAAUAAAUUUGUUCUUUAGUACUUCCCACCUGAUUUUUCUUAGGAAGGUACUGGAUAAUAUAUUCAACCUAAAUCAAGGUAUAAACUAAUAAGUAAUUACAUGUGUAUUCUGAAAAUAUGUCUCCAGCACAGAAGUAAAGGGAAUAGGAUUCUCAGAACAUGGUCAAGGAUGAUCCCAAGAUGAAAUCUGUAUUCCUGGUAUGGAGGCCAAACCAUUCUGAUCAGAGAGAUCAGAAGACAGUUGAAAAGAUUUCUUUCAUAAAGUAAAAUUGAUAAAAUGCCUGAUGCAUGCUAAUGCAAGGAAAAGAGUGAUAAAAUUAAUUAAUAAAUUAGGGUUAUUUUAGUGAUAGGAAAAAUAAGACAGUUUUUAGGGAAAAUAAAGUUUUAGGGAAAAGACAACUAAUAAUGUGAUACUUCUUGAAUGACCAUCUGAUAGCAUUCACAUAAUAACAAAACGAUGCAAAUGCAGAAUGUAGAUCUAACAAUAAUGUUGAUAAAUAGGAGUGACUGAAGGAUGUGAUGGAAUGUUAUAGAGGGGAAUGAUGAAAAAGAACCAAAUCUUUAUCUUUAUUAUUUCAAAAUCAAUAGAUAGUGUACAACCUUAAAAAACUGGUAUGUUGAAGCAUAUUUAAUGCUGUAUAUUUAAUUUAGAUAUAUACAGAUAUAUACCAAAAUAAUCAGCUAAUGAGUCAAAAUGGUUGAUUUUGGAAAUACAGAAGUCAGGGGCAGAGACACUGAACCACUCCUUUAUUAGUAAACUUUUUGAACUUUGUGAGUCUUUAAGUUAUAUGCAUUUAUAACUGAUUAAAGUAAAACUAGAAUAAAUAUAGUUUGUGUGGUUUUAAGUAUUUCACAAAUAUAUAACAAAUCAUAUAUAACUUCCUUUAAUUUGUAGUUUUACAGUUAGCAUUAUAUUUUCAACAUUUUUACAUAUAAAUAAAGUAUCUCUUUCAGUUAGUUGUGUAGUUUUACAGUAUUCUGAUACGAGGGUUAAGGCAUAAUUUAAUUAUCCAUUUUAUUUCCACUGUUGUCAAUGUAAUGAAGACUCUUGCACAUGUUUUGUCAAAGUCCAUCUAAGCUUAUACACCUGGAAAUGGAAUAAAAAGAUCAUAAGUGUAAGAUUAAGAUUUCAACCUUAUCUAGAUAUUAUCAACAUGUUCAUAAUGUCGGUAAUGGUUUUCAAUCGUGAAAUACUUCGAUUUGGCAACUGAUGAAUAUUGUAGCCUCUGUCUUCUCCAAAGUGAAGUAGUUCCUUUGACACCUGAUUUUUCAGUAAACUGUUCAUUUACUUUAUUUUUAAAUUUCUGUAGUGACUUUUUUCUAAAGGCUUCAUGAAGUUUCCUCUUUUUUUUUUUUCCUAUGCAACAAUAAAUGCAGGAGGACAGUGAAGCAAAGUCAAUAGAGGUUUAACAAAAAAAUGACUGUGAUUGAAAACUGUUAUGUCCUUCAAAGAUAUGGUUCAUGUGUGAAGGAAACACUAAGUCCUGUAGAACUUCAAAAGAAUAGCGCUCAAAGAGAUUUCCAUUAAAACGUUUUGGAUGAAUUUUUCUGCAUCACCAAGUGAUAAGAAAUGGCUAUGAACAUCAAUUAGGUAAAAAUUAAGAUAAAUGUGUAAAAAUCCUAAAGUCUAUGGGAAAGGGUAAGGUCUUAAUGCAUAUAAAUAACUAUUAGAAUUAUAACUCCAAAAGUGAAUGUUUAAGUGUAAAAAAUAAUUUAUCUGGAAAGAUAUAUUUUAUCUUUAUCUUGAAACAUACAUUUAUUUUUUUAAAUAUAGAGCUUGUGGCCUCACAAUAAAAUAAAUAUGAACUGGAAAAAUGUUAGGGAAAUAAUGUAAGGAAAAUGAGUAAAAGAGUCUAAAAAUAAACUGUCUUAUUCAAUAUAGAUAUAACUCAUUGUUUUAAAACAAAUCUUAAAGUCUUAAGGAGCUGAAUUGGAAUUAGCACCUUAAUGUUUGAAUCUGCAGAAAGAAUUAAGUUAGUAAAACAAAAGAUGGAACAAAAAGAAACCCUGAAAUGCAUAAAAUGCGAAUCAUAAAAUAAAAGUACGCAAAGGACCAAAUACAGUGUUAUGGAAGUAACUAUGAGCAGCUUAAAUUCCUUGAUUAAAAAUUAAGGUACUCAAACUGAAUAGCAGGGAAAACUAGUAUUGGUGAUUCAUGGGUGAUUUCUCAUAGAAAAUGUCCUUUCAAACAAAACCUGAGGGACAAGAAAGUUUAAAAUGAUUUAGAUAAUUUUGAAAUUAUCAAAUUUCAAAUAUAAAAGGAAAUAUAAGAGGAAAUGAGAAAAUACAAGAUGUUAGCACUGGGAUGGAGUACAAUAUCUUUUGGACUUCCCUGACUGCAGGAUUGUUUCUCAUCCUACAAUGAUCUUCUCAAAUACCACUUAUUUUUCAAGUAUUUACCAACAGGCCAAAACCUUAAAGAAUAAAUGACUCCACCUGCAAUUUAGUAUUAUUUCCAAGGUAACGUUUAGAGUUGGUGAUAUUGAUGACUCUUUCCUGUACUACAUAAAGUCUUUAAUGGCAGAAAACAUGUACUAGUAAUUUUUGCUGACAAUGUCUAGAAUAAUCUGAGAUAUAAUAAUGUGUAUAUAAUCAAGCCAUGUUUAUGAGAUGAGUUAAAUUGAUAAUUUAAAUGUUCUAAGCCUCCUUAUUUAUAGAUGAGAACUUUUCACAAAUUAUCAUACUUUGUGAUUUUGUGGUAACUACUCUGUAUUAAAAUCAUGUCUAAUGCAUACAUCUUUAAAUGUGUUAAGAAUCUUUCAAACUCCAAGAUGGUGGUAUAUUUACUUGCAAAAUGUUAAAAAAAAUACUGACUUUUAAGUAUCUUUGCAUUUUAAAAGGCAUACAGAUUUUCAAUGUGGUGACACAAAAUAUAUUUAAAUAAUAUAGAUAAAAAUAAGUACACAAUGCAUUUUUCCCUAUUCUUUACUUUUUCCUGUCUUCUCACUUAACAGUCUUUAAUGGGUUAUAUUUUGAAUGAGUAGCAAACCUGGAAAAGACACAAUAUGAAGCAAACUACUCUAAAGCUUUUUAGCAUUACUCUAAGGAAAUCACAAAAGUCAACUAUUAAAUCUAGAUUAGUGCUUGGCUGUGGGUUUAUGUUGGGCUAUUUUUGUAAAGUGCAAUAUGUUUUUCCUUCUAGCUUAAUGAAAUUUUUUUUACAGUAUCCUGUGUAUCAAUUUUAAAUAGAAGUCUAAAUUAAAAAGAAAAAAAAAACUUGUUUCAGUUAUGAGUAACUGAAUCACCAUCAUUAUUUUAUUCUAUUUAAGUAAAAAGAAGUUAACUUUUAGUUAAUAACAUAUUCUGGAAAGAUAAAUAUUAAAUACAAAUGAAACUAUGUAUAUGUAUAUAAUUAUUGUUCAAGUUUGCACACAAGUACUGAUAAAAUUGUGUUUGCAAGUGUGGCUGAAAAUGUUCAAUGCCUAAUAAAGAGCCAUUUUCACAAUUUUUACAAUUUUUUCCUAUAGCCAUUUCUAGAACUGUAUUUUUAAUUGUUUUCAAGUCAGUUUUAGCCUCAAUCUUAUCGUCCAGUCUGUUCACAUAUGCCUUAGCUUGAGAAUUGCUAAUUAGUGCAGACAAAUUCAUUUAUUCCUUCUGGUUCUUUUUCAGGUGUUUCUGUGUUCUAAGUUGUAUGGCUUUUGCUUUGAGUUGUAUAGUACUUACUUUGUAUUCAGUCUGUCUGGAUUGCAGUUCUUAAAUCUGAUAUAAGGAACUAGAUCAAAGUUAUUUUAAGUAUCCAUUGUUAAUAUUAAAGCACACUGAUAGUUCAAGUCAUGCAUUUUCUAGAAAUUAAGUGUCUAUAAUUUGGUCAUUAGUGAAAUAUAAAUAUUAUUUGUUCCAUGUUUGUUAACCUGAAGCAUAUGCAUUCAUGUAAUGCUAUCACUAAACUGAACACUUGCCCAGAGCUAUAGGACACAGCCACAAAAAAUCUUAUAUGCAAACUCUGUAUCUGUGAAGGGAUUGAUGAAUAUAGCUAUGGCCAACUUGUAAAAUUGGCAAAGAGGCCAGUCUUUUUUGUUGUUGUUGUUGUUUUCCUGCGGAGGCCUCUGCUUCUCUGUGGUAGGAAUGCCAGCUUGAGACAAAGCAGUGUUCAGGUCAUGACUCAAAUAUUUUGGAAGUUCUGUUGGAAUUUAUAUUAAGAACAUUGCUGGGAAAUGAUUUGGAAGAAAAUUGUGUCUAAUUACAUAUCUUUUGCCAAUCUUUACUUGUUGUUGUUCCAAAAAAUCAUUGUCUUUAAUUAUUUACAUAUAAGUUAUGUGAGAAUCAUAAUAUCAUUUACAACUAUUUACACACGUAGAAUAGCACAAUUAUGAUGUCAUAAGCAUCUUUGGAAAUAGACUGUCCCCAAGCCUCACUGCUUCUUCUAUAUUUGCCAUCUAGUGCAAACUAUAGAGAGGAAAUAAAGCUGACAAAAUUUCUAGAUAGGUAGCUACUAAGCUAUUGAUUUUUUUUAUCCUAUAAGAAAGUUGACACUAGUGCUUUCUCUAGACUAGUGUUCCUCCAAAUUUUUUGAUACGACAUCCCAUCAUUAAAAUAUUUUUGGACAAAAAUUCCAAAAUACAUUUAUUUAUUUGUAAAUCAUAUAUACAUGCUUCUUACUAAUGCAAGUAUGUACAUUAUAAGUGACAACAAAAAACAGAGAUGUCAAAAAUGAUAAAACUUAUUUUAAAUAUUUCAUUAAUUACAUAACUACACAUAAUUCACAUUGUCUUUUCACAAUUUGGAAUUUUUUGCUAUCCUCCUGUCAUGUCAGUUUAAACCAUCACUGUUUUUGUCUUGCAGCGUGGCUUACCAGAAGAUUCGACUUGAUUUCUGCCAUUUUCUGAUGUUUGCUCAUGUUUGGAUUAUCAAUCGUAUAUUAUCUUUAAUGCAUGUGAAGUUGGCAGAAGUCUUUGUAGUCCACUUGUCCAUUUUGUGAAUAUUGUAUUAAAACUACAAAACAUAUAGUGUGUAAAUCCAUUCAACUGUGCACAUGCAAACUUCAGUAAGUUGAAAAAUGCUGAGGCAAAUAUAAGAUUAAGUGUGACAUUGUCAAUCAUUCCAGGAUGUGGAACUUCUACUCUACACAGGACAUAUCGCAUGCCAUCUGUGACAUGUGACCCCCCCAAAAAAAAAGGGACUAAGCAAGGAAACAGUGUCAGUCUGCAUAUUCAAAUUCUCCAAGGGAUUGUCUCCAGUUUGCAGACAGCCUCCUUAGACCAGUUGUCUUCCAACUGGGGUAUACAUAGCCUGGGGUUAUAAGAUACAAGCACAGAUGGUUUUAAGAAAAUUAAUUUCCUGAUCCUCACUUCCAUAUGGAUUCCUUCCUAAAACUGAUAAGGUUUAAGGUUUCUGAGUGAAGCAGUUUCUUCCUUACAUCUACUUUCUCUAAUACAUUUAUCUAUACUUUAUACUAAAAGGGAUGCUUCCCACCCAUUCUAAGGCUAAUUGUUGUUCCAGCACAUAAAAUUCUCCAGUGUUUCUCUCACACUUUCUCUCACUCUCUCUCUCUCUCUCUGAUUCUCGUUCUCUCUCUCUCUCUCUCUCUCUCUCUCUCUCUCUCUCUGUCUCUCUGGUACAUAUACAGAGGACAAACUAGAUUUUGGUGUUAAAGUUGAGAAAAUGAAUGACUUUAAUGAUGUGAAGACAAACGCUUUUUCAGGUGGUUUCCAAUUCAUACUUUUCAAGAGUUGAAGGAGAACCAAAUUUAGUCAUCAGAUGACAGAUGAUGAAAUAUUUUUUAAUGGAAAUCAGCAUGAGAUUUUUGGCACAAAACUCAGAAUAGGUUCAAAGAAUUGAGUUAUAGGCUUAUAACAAGUCUGUUCAAAAAUAUUUACUUAGAUGAACAUAGUUUCUUCAUGCUCAGACCUAUGUUUUAAAAUAAAAAAACACAAUGGAUGUUCAACUCCACAUUAUUCUCACAAUAAAUAGUAUUCAUCCAUGGAUACAUGAUAGGAUAUCUUUGAUCAAUUAUCCAUUUAUACUUAUAUAUAAUAGGAAAGAUGUCAACCUAAAAUAAUUUUUAAUAUUUACUGUCUUAUGCUUAUAGGAAACUUUAAAAAUGAAGAGAAACAAUAAAAGUCUUUCAGCAAAGACUCAAGUGUAUUGUAUAUAUUUGAAUAAAAUUUGAUGGAAGAACUGGAAUUGAAUGUGAUCUAAAGAAGUAAAAACCAUUCAAUAUUACACAUGCCCAUGCAUUUAUUUUAAAUUAGUGACGUUUUGUAUCAAAUUAUGAUAUUUAGAUACCAUCAGAUAUAAUUUUAAAAAUUCACAUAACCUGUCCAUUUUUAAAUGGCAAUAUUUAAUGACACAAAAUUCCAAAAUUUCUAGCUCUUUUGAACUGUAGAAACUUUCUUGAAAAUACUUGUUUUAUUCUAAAUCCUUAUAGGGGAUAUAUGGGGGAAAAUACUUUUAAAAACCACUGCUUUACACAUGCACUAUCAUUAUAGCAUCUGCUUAUUAUCAGAAGUUAAUAGUCUUGAAAUAUAAGAUCCAGUUAGAUUUUAGACACCAGAUAAUAGUAGGAAAGAGAGGGAGAAAGAAUAAAUAUGACAGAAUUAUAGGAGGUUUUUAGAUCUGAUGUAAAGCCAAUAGUUAUUUCACACAUAUAAGUUUAAUUACUGCUACACCUGAAUGCAAUGAAUAAUAAUUCUGUGUAGUGCCUCCUUGAUCAAGAGAAUUGCUACCUAGUAGAUCAUGUGCUUGAGGAUACUCUUCCAUGUCAAAGUAAACUUUAAAAAAUGUAAUUGUUUUGGGGCGCCUGCAUGACUCAGUCAGUUAAGUGUUGGAUUCUUGAUUUCAGCCCAGGUCAUGAUCUCAUGGUUCAUGAGUUCAGGUCUUGUGUCGGGCUCCACGCUGAUGGUGUGGAGCCUGCCAAUGAUUCUUUCUCUGCCUCUUCAGUGCACGCUCUCUCUCUCUCUCUCUCUCUCUCUCAAAAUAAAUAAAUAAACUUUAAAAAUGCAAUUGUUUUAUUAUAAUUACUACUACCAACAUACUACUAUAUAGAUGUUUAGAGCUUUGUAUUUUUCAUGAGUCACCAUCAGCCACAGCCCCACAGGUCAGACUUGUAAAGCCGUAUGUGAUUUCAACAACCAUUCUGGAUAAGUUGACUACAUUAUCUUAAAAGAAUAUUAUUUUAUAUUUUAAAAUCUUGCUUUCAUUGAUGCUUCCAAAUAAUUCCAGAUACCAAACUGCUGUUUUUAUAUCUUUGCCUUAUAUUAAGAGGAAAACCUCAUUUUAAGCUCUUUUUGUUUCUAAUUGGUAAGAAAAAAAGUUUUUCAAUAAAUAAAAAAUCACACAGAUGCGUACACAUAUUGCAUUUUAGAAUGAGGACAUAAUGAACCAGCAUUAUUCACUUAGGGAACAUGGAAAAAAAUAACUGAUUAAAAAUAAUCCCAUUAUCUAAAUGCCACAGUCCACACGAUGUACUGUAAGAGUGGGUAGAAAACCGGAAAAUAUGAAAUUCAAUAUAAAAGGUAAUAUUUUAAUGAAAGAUAGAACAUUUUGUUAUGAAGAGUCAGCCCUAAUGAUAUUUUUGAAAAGCUUUUUGAUAAUGACAAAUUUUCAUAUUUAUUUUGAUAAGAAUAUUAAGAGAGGUAGCAUCUAUGAUAUUGGGUGGUUUUCUUUGUGCUCUUUAUUUUACAUAUGCUAUUAUUCUUUCUAAUGUCUAUAUUCUUUUUGACUACAUUUCUUUUGUGCUAUCUACUCAUACCUAAGGUCUGUGAAUCUCUGACUGUGUUUUCUCCAUUUUGUUUUUCUUCCUGGUCAUACAACUAGACUGUAUUUUCCAGGCUCCUUUUCAGUGAUGUGUGGCCACUUGACUUAAGUCCAGCUUAUUGAAUAUGAAGUAAUCCGUUCCCCUUCCCAGAGUAGAGAAUAAACAGCCUCGAACCUGAGGCUAUGCUCUUCCCAUCAGUUGGCCGAAAACAGUGGAAUUCAAAGAGUUAUAGGCCAGUGAAGCCAUGGUCUGACAAGACCCUGGGGAUGACAGUGCAGAGCAGUGUACCUCCCUCUCUGUGAUUUAACCAAGAAAUAAACUAUUUAUGUGAAACCAGGGAGAUUUAGUAGCUCAUUGCUUAAAUCUGUUAGCUUUAGCCUACUUGGGCUAAUAUAUCAUUUUGUAGGUACCUUUGACCUUAGAUGCUUAUCCUUUCAAACCACCCUUUUUAUCAUUGCCAAAUAAUCUUUAUAUCAAAGAGCUGUUUUAUGGCUGCUUAUUUCUAAAUUGUUGCUUUGGCUCACUAUUCUCUUACGGUUCCCAUUUUGACCCUGAUGCCUCAAUUUAAAAAAAGUUGUUCAUUUUUGAGAGAGAGAGAGACAGAGCAUGAGCAGGGUCGAAGGGCAGAGAGAGGGAGACAUAGAAUCUGAAGCAGGCUCCAGGUUCUGAGCUGUCAGCACAGAACCCGACACAGGGCUUGAACUCACAAGCUGUGAGAUCAUCACCUGAGCCGAAGUUGGACGCUUAACUGACUUAGCCACCCAGGUGCCCCUGAUUCCUCAAUAUUUUAAUGUUUGUUUUAGGACUUCCUUUUCCAUGGUUCCUUCAUCAUGGAGUCCCUGGCUUUUCUUUCUCUACAGAAAUCUCAACUUUCCUUCCAGAUCCUGGUAAAGUUCUUCACUCUGUCUUUUCUGAUUAUCCCCAUCUCCUUUCCCAUAUUAGGUCCUUCUCCACAAACCCACAAACCCUCCUUCUAUCAUUCUGGUCUUCACUCAUCUGGUCCUCCUCACUCUUCUCCCAAUGCACAGAGUUUAUUCCCUGACUGCACCUGCAUUUAUUUACAUCCAGUAGUUUACAUCCAGUAUUAAUUGAAAAUUUGGUUUAAAAAUAACUCGGUUCUCUGAUAAUACAUUUCUACACAUUGAAAACUAUCUUUUUAGCCUUUUUAAAAUUAAAAUACAUACAUAAUGAAAUAAUGACAGUGUUUUAUGUUCUGUGAACACCAAUAAAAACUCGAAGCUCUUAGUCCUAUGGCAUAUCUACUUAGUUUGAAGUGAAUACUGUUUAAAUAAAUUAACUGAAUAAAUACAUGAUUAAAUGUAAUUUUAUCAUGUCUUUCUUUGAGCAACACACCAUGUGCCACAAAAUGCUGCUACCUUUCACACAUUGGGUGGCCUUCAUUUGUAUUUAGACAUAUUUUUCCUCAUGUAAAAUGUUCCCAAAUAGUUGUAAAGCAGUAAGACAAAUAAUUUAACAUUGUGGUCAUAAUUUAUGCUGCACCUCCUAAACAAAGAAAAAGCAGGGGCGCCUGGGUGGCUCAGUAGGUUGAGCCUCCAACUUCGUCUCAGGUCAUGAUCUCAUGGUUCAUGGGUUCAAGCCCCGUGUCAGGCUCUGUGCUGACAGCUCAGAGCCUGGAGCCUGCUUCAGAUUCUGUGUCUCGCUCUCUCUCUCUCUGCCCCUCCCCUGCUCAUGCUCUGUCUCUCUCUGUCUCAAAAAUAAAUAAAACUUUAAAUUAAAAAAAAAAAGAAAGAAAGAAAAGAAAAAGCAGUCUCCCCUCCGUUAAGUUGUAUAAACUGGUAUAGGGUUUGCAUCUAAAUACAAUGCUUGCACUGAAGCACAGUGGAAAGCCUUUCUAGGGAUAGGCCUGUUUGAGAUUUUCUUAUGUACUUUUACACUCUGCUUUGGGAUUGCACAUUGUUGGUCUUGUUGAGUCUUAGGUUUUCCCUAACUAGCUUUUGUACAAACUAGCUUUUGUAUUACUAUCUUUUAACUAUUCAAGAUGUUUUAUAAUCAGCUUUUCUAAAAGGGAAAAAUAACUAUAUAUUUCCUGAACCUUUGAUUUCAAAUAUUAACUUCACUUGAGAUAUUUUCCUCUGAAUUAGAAACCUUUUCCAGGAUCACUGUUUUAUAAAAUAACACCUUCUUUUACAACUUUUAUCCCAUAUCCUCCUUUAUUCCCCUUCCAGCACUUAUGCCACCUGAUAUAUAUUAAAUGUUUUAUUUUCUUAUUCUCCACCUUCCUCUUCUAGAAUGAUAAGCUCUAUGAAACCAGGCACUACUGUUACUGGGUCCUGGGUGCCUUGGUCGGUUAAGCGCCACAGUCUGGCUCAAGUCAUGAUCUCUGUUCCUGAGUUCAAGCCUCAUGUCCAGCACUGUGCUGAUGACUCACGGUCUGGAGUCUGCUGGAGGAACUCUGUGUCUCCCUCUCUGUCUGUCUCUGUCCCACUCGUGAUCUCUCUCUCACUCUCUCUCUCUCAAAAAUAAAUAAAAAUUAAAAAAAUUAUUUUGUCCUUAUGUCCCAGCACAUAGUAUGAUCAAUCAACACUUACUGAAUGAAUGGAUGAAUAGACAGAUGAAUUCAUGUUUCAGUUCUAAUUCACUGUGUCCCAGGAGAAGUAUUUGGCAUAGAAAAUUAACUAUGUUGAAUCUACCAAGUUUCAAAAAGAUUUGUCACACUUCCAUGUUCUUUAUUAGUAGAUUUACAAUCCAAAAUGAAAACUAAGUUACAUAUAUUAGAAAAAAAGGUGAAAAGUGGAACAUAAACCUGUGCUCAAUUAUUUAAUUGUAUGAUCUUAAUAUUUAAAUACAAAUGAAACAAUUAACCCAUUUUUUAUACUCUUUAAAGUCACAAGUCACAGUUUAUUCCUGUUCUGUCACGUACAUUUCUGGCAAGAUGAUUUGAGUUCUGAUUUAGAAACACUGGCAACUUAUUUUAAAAUAGUAUAUUUGUUCCUCUCUAGUGAGAUGUGUGAGACACAGAAAUAGAACAUUGUGUGAUGGAACAGAUGCUGUAGCAAUGGUGAGUUUAUAUGAGGAUGCUGAUGACAGAUGCCACCUUAGAGCAUUAGCCAAUAGAAAAGUAUGGGUAUUACUGUUUACUGUUACUCAAAAUGAGCUGGGCUAUGGGCAACCCUGAAUGCACAAUCUCACGAUAAAUAUCCAAAUUUAAUUUAAAAGGAAAUAAAAACAAAUUUAUUUUAAGGUAGGUAUGGUGAACCACCUCAAUGUUUUUUCCUUAUAGAAGUGCUUUAUUCUCUAUGGCAAGAAGAGACAAACUAAAAUAAAAUUUACUUGGAACAGAAUUCAUUUGAAGAUAGUUAAGUAAUUUUGAAGAUUAAACCAAACACAAAUUGUUCAGUACAGAAGGUAUUUGUUGUAAUAGUGAUAAAUAUAUUGACUAGAAUUUUUUUUUUCUUCUUUGGGCAGCUAACCAAUAUGAAUGGUUGAAAUCUCAUUAAAAUUAAUUGGAGCUUAUCAUUCUAGAAAAAUCCAAUUAUUUUGUAAUUGCAGAAUUAAUGCUUUAUUCUACAUUACUAAAAAUAAAUGUGCAAUUCACUUAAAAUAUUUUUACUUGGAUAGCUUUAAUAUAGUUGUAUUUAUCAUAGGAGACUUUUGAUCUGCAAAUGUAAAAUAAACUGAAAAUCAGUAUAUUUUGGUCAUUUUACAAUCCUGUCAGCAUUCAAUUUCACCAGGGUUUCUAUCAUUGAUUAUUUCAACAGCAGAGGUAACUCAAAUGAACAACUUAUAUUUGCUUUGCUCCAGUAUGUCAAGUUUGAGGGACCCUAAACACACACUCAGAGACGAGAACUUGGGUAUGUGUAGUGUAUAUGAAAGGCGAUCUCAGGAAGUGCAAGUAAGAAAGUGUGAGGCAGGGAAGAGAAGCUGGCAUUAAUAUUAUUGCUGUUUUAGAGUUCAGGCUUAGUCCUCUAAGGACCCUCUGGGAAACGGGAUCAGGAUUUAAAUCAUCCUUCCAGAAAAAGGGAGAUCUUGCUUGCACUGAUUCUCUGAAGACCCUAGUCCUCAUUGUCUGAGGGUUAACUGAGGAACACUAACUCCCUAAAACUUACAAGUUGUCUCUAACUGUAUCCAAGCAAGUUUUCAGGUACCAACAAAAUCUUCAACAAUACUGUAUUCUUAAAAUUUACUAAGAGAGUAGAUCUUAUGUUUAAUGGAUAUGUCUAUGGCCUUGAUAGUGGUGAUGGUUUCAUGGGUGUACCCUUAUCCCCAAACUUAAGAAAUUGUAUACAUUCAAUAUGUACAACCUUUUACACAUCAAUCAUACCUUAGUCAAGUGGUUAAAAAAGUCCUCAAAAGACAAAAUAAAAGGAUUUAAAUGAAAAGCUGAGGGUGGGUUGGAAACCGUCAGCUAAAAUUGCUGGGGAAGUCAGUGGGUGAGAGUAUAUGGGAGGGGGCAGCAAUAGCAUCGCUAUAGAGACUUUUGUCUUUUUGUGCAUCAAGGUCAAUGGCCGUGUGUGUGUGUGUGUGUGUGUGUGUGUGUGUGUGUGUGUUAUAAUCUCUGUGUUUGUGUGUAUUGUAAUUUUGCUUUAAUAGAAACAAUUGUCAAAAUCUUAAAAAUCAAUGCUAGUAAAGUUUCCAGAAAUUAGUAAUUUCAACACAAAUGUUAGCAUAUGACAAUAACUCUUGAUAGGCUAAUUUUGCUACUAUUAACAUUUUCCUUAGUGCAGAAGUAUAAUGCUUAUACAGGAAAAACUCUUAAAAAUAGGGAUAGUGGAAAUGUCAUUACUGAAUACAGAGGUGAUUUUCUUUUUAUUUGUUUUUGUCCUAGUGUUCCCUAAAUUUUCCUCUCUAAAAAUUGGCAUAAAUACUUUCCUCUUCAUAAGAUGAACAGGAUUAAAUUCACAUUAACUUAAUUGCCUUGUAGUUUCAGAAACUAGAUUUCCGUCUACCAAUAUAGAAUUUUGAAUAUAUUCUAAAUAGUUUCCUAUGUUUACCUUGAGACAGUUAAUUUCUUUUCCUCUUUCUUUCUUUCUCCCUUUCUUUCUUUCUUUUAUCAGUUAUGUCAGGGGUCAAGGGAAAAAAAAAGAGAAAAAAUAACUUGCUACAUUUCUUUGGAGCAAAAAAGAAUCACUAUAGCUUGAACUGUGUCCAGAUCUGCUUUCCGCCAUCUCUAAAAUACUUGCAGUCUAAGCUCAUAUAAAUGCCACUGAGUGAAGGGAAAAGGUCAGGGGAAAGCUUGUGGCUGCCCCUUUGUUCAACUUCCAGUCAUGCUAAUCUGUGUACAGGCCUAUCCCUUGAGGCUCAAACUCUUCCUUGAAAUUCUCGGCUUCGGUUUCAUUCACUUUUAGUGAAAGAAUAUUUUCUGAAACUCUAGGAUAUAUUGAAGGUCAAAGGCAAAGCUAAACAGGUAAUGCCACUGGGUCUUUCCAAUAACAGAUACAAAUUUACUAUGGAUUUGUAGUGGAUUUUUCUCACAUCAGUUUUUUUCUUUUAAUAUCAAUAAUAUAAACAACAAAGUUACUAUACUCUUUCUAUGCUCCUCACAAUCAGUAGGCUAAGCAUUAUCUCUAAAUAAUACUAAAGCUUCCAACAGAAUGAUCAAAGCUUGUAGAAUUUUGAAAAAUUAUCAGUGGUUUCUAAAAACACAUUAAAAGUAGGAGUUUCUGGGAUAGAUGUCAUGUGUAUGUCCAAAUGAUCCCUUUCCUAUUGUUGCCAGUCCAUAUGGAGUGUUACAUUAUUUUUAGAACACGUCUGUGUCCAAAGCAUAUAAGCAAGGGAUUGGAAAAGACCCAAUAUAACACCAGCCAAUUAAUCUGCAACUUGAAAUUAAAUCUUGAAGAGCUAGGCAUUCUACUUAAAACAAAUAGCAGCUGAAGGAAAUAGUAUCAGCCAAUUCUGAGGGUCAAAGUUACAGACUUGAAGAACAGGGGUGCCAGGUGGCUCAGUUGGUUAAGUAUCUGACUUUGGCUUAGGUCAUGAUCUCUCGAUUUGUGAGUUUGAAGCCCGCAUCGGGCUCUGUGCUGAAAGCUCAGAGUUUUGAGCCUGCUUCAGAUUCUGUGUCUCCCUGUCUCUCCCUGACCCUCUCCUGUUCACACUCUGUCUCUCUCUCUCUCUCUCAAAAAAUUACUAAACAUUAAAAAAAUUAAAGAGUAAAUACAAAAUUAUCCAGAAUGUAGGUGUAAAAAGGAUAAAAUUAGGGAAUAAUUGGAAUAGGUCAGGAUGCAUUAAGUGGUACCUGGACUAUAGGCAAGAAUCUUCUCACUUGCUUUCUUCAGUUACUGGACAUGCUAAUGUAUCACCUUAGUUUAAGGCUGCAGGAGAAUGGAGAUGGAAAAUUUCAGAGGUUCCAAAUAAUUCAUGAAAGAAUAUAGGGAUUUUAUGUGUUUGACACCAUUUUGAAACCCAAUGCAUGAAUUGAAAGAAACAUUUUACUUGUACUUGGAGAGUCUCUAUAUCAGGGAUACUGUACUGUUUCUACUUUUCUGUAAGCUUACAUUGGCCUUCUUAAAAGCACAUCUCUUAAAACUAUUGACUGAAGAUGAAGUCUGAAUGGGAUAUUGUGACUAAAUUUAUGAUUAUUUAACAUUCUAGGACCCAGUGUUCUUCCUCGGAGAAUAGGGUUCAGCCAAAUAUUUUUCUGCAGUGCAAUGACAUUUUUCCUCUCAUGGAAGAACACUGUCUCUGUCCAUAGCUUUCACUGUAAAAUUAUUUUUAAGGUCUAACAGAGGAACCAUAAGAUUGCAAACAGGCCCAUCAAUAAAGACCAUCUGUGAAUUAAAAUUUGAACCUAUGGCCACUAUAGUUCCUACAGAGUCUAGUUUAAAUAUAAUAUAUCAUGCUUCUUAAUAAAUAUUAAACUUAUCAUUGAUGGGUAGGCAAAUAGGAAGUUUAAUUAAUCCAUAAAAAACACAACUAAUCAAAACCCCCCAAAAAAUUAAUGAACUUAAAUGUGGACACAAAUUUCAGUGAGAAAAAACAAACUCAAUGGGGAAGUCAAAUGUGUGAAUCAUGACACUCUAAAUAUAUACAAAUAAAAUGAAAAUUUAGCACAUCUUCUGAAUUUCACCAUAAUAGUCAAUUUGGCUAGGCAAUGGUGCUCAGACAUUGGGUCAAACACCACUAGAUGUUUCUGGGAAGGUAUUUUUCAAAAAUAUGAAUAACAUUUAAAUUAGUAGGUUCUGAAUAAAGCAGAUUACAUUCCACAAUGUGGAUGGGCCUGAUCCAAUCAGCUGAAGGCCUUAAGAAAAAAAGAUGAGGUCCUCUGGGGAAGAAAUUCUGUCUCUAGAUUCCCUUUGGACAGGAGACUACAACAUCAGCUCUUCCCUGGGUCUCUGGCUUACUGGCCUGACCUGCAGAUUUUAGAUUUGCCACUCACCACAAUUUCCUGAGACAACUGCUCAAAAUCUCUCUCUCUCUUUCUACACACAUGCUCUCUCUCUCUCUCUCUCUCUCUCUCUCACACACACACACACACACACACACACACACACACACAUUCUAGUGGGUCUGUUUCUUUGGAGAAUCCUGACUAAUAUGGUCAUUAUUUUUUUAAUAUUUAUUUAUUUUUGACAGAGAGAGUGGGGGAGGGGCAGAUAGAGAGGGAGACACAGAAUCUGAAGCAGGCUUCAGGCUCUGAGCUGUCAGCACAGAGCCUGAUGUGGGGCUUGAACUCACAAAUAGAUUGUGACCUGAGCUGAAGUCAGACACUUAACCAAAUGAGCCACCUAGGUACCCCAUGUGGUUGCUAUUUUUAGUCAUAACAGUAAAAUAAAGGUGACCAGAACUUUAGAGAGGCACUGUGGUGGGUAGGAAUUUAAUUCCUCAGUUUAAAUUCUGUUCACCUUUUACUAAUUAUGUAUUUGCGAGCAGCUUAGCCUUUCAGAGUAUGAAUUUCUUGGUCUGUAAAAUGAGAUCAUAGGUAAGACAUGGCAAACAAAUGCUUCAAGAGACAUAGCAUGUUUUGAGGAUUGACUGGAAAAAUAAUUCAUGAGAAUUCCUUAGAACAGUGAUUUCAUACAGUAAGUGCUUACAUGGUAUUCCUUUUCUCUAUAAUAUAGAACAAUCAUAAGUACUCUCUAUUGUUAAAAUUAUUGAUUUUAGCAUAUUUCAUGACAUCAAACCAUCUCAGAAUUGUAAAGAUGCUCUUACGUUAUCAAUCACAAUAGAAAUUGAUGUAAGCAGUAAAGGGAUAUGCUAUUUUGAUGGUAACAGAUUGAAUAAAAAAUCUGUGAAUUUAUUGUAUAUAUAUAUAUUGUGUCUAUAUAUUUUAUUUAUGUAAAAUAUAUUAUAUAUAUGUUUACAGAGUAAUGAGAAGUAAUAAAUGAUAGAGUUUAAAAAUCACCAUUUUUAUAACACUCCAUGUUACAAUCUAUUUGACUAUAUAUAAUCAGUGGAUGCUAAAAUCAUUACAUGAAACUGAUCGAGAGCAAGAUAUAAGCAAGGUGCUUGUUAUCACUCCACUUAUUCAUUGUAAAUUUAAAAAUACACCUUCUAAAGUGAUCAAAUUCAGGAUUAUUCUUAGAAUUUCAUCCUUAUACCAUCAUAUUCCUGGUGGAGUACAAUAUAAAGUACCUAACGAUACCUAAGAAAUAUGAAUCCUCAAAAUGUUUAAUCUGAAUCUAUUCCAGCCCCAAUGCCUAAUGUUCACUUAUAAGAAAUAUAGUAGAUAAAAGAACCAGAGUAAUAUUUCCAUGAGGAAACAAUCACACAUAUCCAGAAUGAAGGAUAUUCUCCAAAAUAACUGGCCUAAAACAAUCAAUGUCUAAAAAAAUGAGUAGAUUAUUCCAUAUUGAGACAAGAUUAUAAAGGAAUAAAGGGAUACAUAUGUAUCUUACCAAAUAGAAAAGCUGUGGGGCAUCUGGGCGGUUCAGUCAGUUAAGCAUCCGACUUUGGCUCAGGUCAUGAUCUCAUGUUUCGUGAGUUCGAGCCCCGCGUUGGGCUCUGUGCUGACAGCUCAGAGCCUGGAGCCUACUUCGGAUUCUGUCUUCCUCUCUCUCUGCUCCUUCCCUGCUCAUGCUCUGUCUCUCUCUCUCCUUCAAAAAAUAAUUUUAAAAAAAUUAAAAAGAAACAAAUAGAAAAGAUGUGUAUUAUUAGUAAUAGAACCUCUUAAAAAUUAUGAUCAGAGAAUUGGCAUAAUUAAUUGGGCUUUUUCAGAAAUGUCACUCAUUCAACAAUAUGGAAACAUGAUAGGUUUUGUCAUAGUGGUACUGUGAGAGGAGAGGAGGGCUUAAAAUAUGUAAGUUAGGAAAAAUUAAAAUGUGGGACCUUAGACUUGGUGCUUGAUUAAAUGUAAUUUGUGAAGAAAUAGUGAGCCAAACAUCCUAGAAUCUGCCUUGAAUGGGGGCCUUUGUAUUAAUAUUGCAUGUGUGCGAUCUAGGUAGAGAUGCCUCUUUAGAGAAAGGAUUUGGGCAUCAACUGCUUUUAAACAGUGACUACAAUUUCAGGAGGAGAUGAAAUCUCGUAGGAGAGUAUAGUUAGAAGAUAGCUGAAAAUUGAACUGUGUAGCACAUUGUAUUAGUUUAUUACUACUAUGGCAAAUUAUCACAAAAAUAGUUAGAAGAUAGCUGAAAAUUGAACUGUGUAGCACAUUGUAUUAGUUUAUUACUACUAUGGCAAAUUAUCACAAAAUUAGUUGCUUAAAACAGCAUAAGUUUAUUAUUCUCUUAUAGGUCUGGAGGUCAGAAGUCUGAAGCAAGCUUGAUAGGGUUAAAAUCAAAUUGUCUGCAGAGUUGCUUCCUUCUGAAGGUUUCAAGGGAGAAUUGGUUUCUUGCUUCUUUCAGUUUCUAGAAGCUGUCUACUUCCUUGGCUUGUGACUGGAUCACUCCAAUCUCUGCUUCCUUCAUGGCAUUGCCAUUCUCUCUGUCUCUUCUUCUGUAGUCAAAUAUGCCUUCAUCUCCUUAUAUGAACACUUGUGAUUGUAUUUGGUGCACCUAGAUAAUCCAAGAUGAUCCCUGCAUCUUUCAGGUCCUGAGCCUUAAUUGUAUCUGCAAAGUUCCUCUUACCAUGCAAGGAAAUAUAUUCUCAGGCUCUGGGGAUCCAUGCAUUGAUACCGUGGGGGACCAUCAUUCUGCCUACAGCCCAAAUCAACACACAAACUCAUGGACUAAGAGAAGUUUUUAUGAAAACUGAUAGAGACAGAGAUAUAGAGAAAAAGAAAAGUGAAAAAAUAAAUGGAGACACUGCUGCCAUGUUAACCAAAGAUGGUAACUUCAUAAAAGAGUACUUUCCACACAACUGCAAACAGACCAUGUGCUUCUGCUUCCUGAUAAUACUAAUCAUGUCUCUUUGCAAAAUUCUUAGCAUACAUGAAUUUAAACAGAGGUUUCUCUCAGUUUCACUAGCAUUUUUAAUCGGAACUGUUAGGCUGAGCUUAUCUUCUCCUGCUCAAAAUCAGCUUUGGAGAUGGGCAUAUAUUCCUGAGAUGCAGAUCUUGGAACAUGUUCCAAAUUUUAUUAGAACACUGAAGUAUGGGGAUUUGGCAUUCCAAUUAGACCACAUGCACCCACAUAUGUUGAUGUGGAUAGCAUUUUAUUUAAUCAUUUUACUAAUGAUUUUUGGAUGGCCAGUAAGUGCCAAGUAUACCAGAGACGCAGUGUUCACUCUCAUUAAGAAGUUUACAUUCUAUAGGAUUUGACCAAGACACACACACACACUCUUGCUCUCUCUCACACUCAUGUAAUCAAUUCUAAGACGCUACUGAUUGUAAGAUACAGCAUUAUUUUAUAUAAUGCCACAAAAUUAAAAUUUUUACUAUCAUAUUGUACCAUAACAUUAAAACAUCAUUCCAUUUAUAGUAGGUGCAUUUGUAAUUCCAGAGAUAUUAUAUUUUGGGAAUUUAAUGUGUCCUCAUUAAUAAAAUGUAGUGGUUCAAUCUAUCGCAUAUUGCUGUUUAAACACAGAGGGGUGCUCAAAUUAACUGAAGUAAGGACAUUAGUAAGGUUGGACUGGAUAGGAGAUUGUCUACUCAAAGGGAAAGAAGUUAUCAGGAUAUGACUGAAACAGGUUGCUUUGGUUUGUCUGCUUUGUCCUCUUGGCUAUCACUUGACAGAGAUAUCAGACGAAAGAGAAGAAAGAAUACAAAAUUUAGUUUCAGUCUUGAUUUAGAUCUAAUCUCCAGAAUUUACGCUUAAAGAAUAAGGGAGAUAUAGCAAUAUACAACUGGGGAAAUCAGGACCCUGAAGAGUCAACAUUACUUUUUCAUAUUUGGCCUGGUUAGAUUCACUGAGCUCUGAUUGGCUCUUACAUGGUUUAAGUCUGCUAGACAAUAUUGCUCGAGCACUGGCUUGCUGGAUAAUUAAGUGGAGUAUAAAAUUUAAGGGAAACAAUCAACAAAUUCAUGGGAGCAUGAAAGAUAUUGCCUUUCUUUGGAGAGUUUUAAAUAUUUUGUUAUUGUUGACACAUAUAAGUAAAACCUUGGAUUGAGAGUAACUUGUUCUGCAAGUGUUCUGCAAGAUGAGCAAACAUUUCUAAUAAAUCUUAACUUGAAAAACAAGUGAUGUCUUGCAAUACAAGUAGUACAUGAUGCCAAACAUCACAUGAUCACAACUGAGCCAAUGGUUCUCUCUCUCACUCACUGAGGGAUUGUGAGUGAUCGUCUCCCAUGCUCGGAUGCUCAGUCUCAGGCCUCAGUGUUAGGCAGAAAUCAGUGAUUUUUCAGAAUGUUGGAUUUGCAAAUGGAAUCGUUUCUCUAUAUAAUCGCUACUAAAAUACAUUUGUUUUGAAAAUACAUUUUUUUUUCUAAAAGCUUUACAAAGUGUGCAUGAAGCUUCAGAGAUACUUCUUGAAGUAUACUUGAUCACCCUGGGGGUAGUUCAUGAAAACAGAGCGUGGUUUUUCUAACAAAAAAUCAAGAUAAAAUGUGAUCCACAUUUCAAAGGAACAGAGCAUGGUUUUUCUAACAAAAAUCAAGAUAAAAUGUGAUCCACAUUUCAAAGGAACUCUUACUUGUUCUACAUAAGCACUGUUGAUAGUAAAGAUGGUCUGGUUUCAGUCAUGGAAAGAACAUUCCCAUUACCUGUUUCAUCCAUAUAGCACUUUAUUAUGUGCCAGACGUGUGAGGAUACUCAAUAUCAAUGAUGAUACUGAUUGUGGCAAGAACAUACUGAUGACUUAAAGCCUUUGAAAUGUCAUAUAUACUCAUGCCUACGUGAAAUCGAUAUGUAUGUAUAUUCAAAAUAUAAAAUCACAUUUUUUCAAAUAAGAUAAAAUAAAAUAAAAUAAAUAAAAUUUCAAGUAAAAUGAAAGCUAAGCAGCUUCACUGUGGUAAGUGCUGUUGAUCAUAUGGAAAACACCCUAUUAAUUUAUUUCGAACUUAUUUUAGUAAUUAACAAUUUCAGAAUAUAAUAUAACAAUUUGAUUGUGUAGUGUAGAGGUGGAGCUGGGAAAUAAAUUCAGUCUCAUUGGUUUCCAACACCUGAGCUUUUCAACUGUGACUUCUCAGGUGCAAAUUCCAAAAUCUUCAGUUUCAAAUCUGUGCAGGCAAAAAGAGCAGAAAAAAAAAAAAUCUGACUACAGAGGGUAAUAAGUGAAAUAAGGUUAUUUCUUUUAAAGGAUUAGAAAUCUAACAUGGAUGAUUACUUAGGUUUUUUUAAAUAAUUUUUUUAAAGUUUAUUUAUAUAUCUUGAGAGAGAUAGCAUGAGCAGGAGAGGGACAGAAAAAGAGAGAGAGAGAGAAUCCCAAGCAGACUCUGCACUGUCAGCACAGAGCCCAAUGUGGGCCUCGAACUCACCAACUGUGAGAUCAUGACCUGAGCUGAAAUUGAGUCAGACACAUAACCGACUAAGCCACACAGGUGUCCCUGACUAAUUAGUCUUGACAGUCUCCGUUUCAAAGAGAACUUAAAGAGAUAGAAGUGGUGCUGGUGAAAAAAGAGUAUCUCUCUUGUUGGUCUCACUACCAUUAUCAUCAUUGUGCCUCUGAAUAGCUAUCAGGAAACACUACACAGGGAACAAUAAGGAAAUAAUUUAAUGUUUUAUGUCAGGUAAGCUACUCAGGGAGAUAUGCUGGAACAACAGAACAACAUUGGACAGAAAAAAAAAUGUUUAGAUUGGUAGUAAAAAAUGCAAAUCCACUUGUCAGAAAGAUAAUGUCUAUAGUUAACAACUGUUCAAAUAGAAGCCUUACAGCAAAGCUCAGCAAACUUUUCUGUAAAGAGACAGACAAUAAAUAUUUCUGGUCCAUAUGGUCUGCAUUGCAACUACUCAAGUCUACCAUCCUAGCAUGAAAAUAACAACAGACCAUAUGUGAAUGGAUGGGUGUGGCUGUGUUCCAAAAACUUUAUUUACAAAAGCAAGGGAAGAGUCAUAUUUGGAUCUCACACCUUAGCUUACCAAUUUCUGUUUUAAAUGAUUAGGUUGAAUGUGAGCUGUAUUCAAAAUAGAAGUGAGAGCCAGGAAGGUGAGCAAACCAUUGCAUUAGUUGGUCAAACUACCUAGGUAGUAGUGAUAUUCAGAAUCAGACAGAACAACACAUCUUAAUUCUCAGUGAGCUCUCUGCUUUGUCCAGGCACGUUUUAUGAAUCCUGGUUGAAAAGGACAGUCUGAAACAUACGGCCAGCCUCUAAUCCCACUGGGGAUAAAAUCAUCCAAACAAAAAGUCCAUGUCAAGGAUAAAUAAUGAAGACAGUGAGCUUACCUGAAUAUAUUCAACACAGUGGCCCACAGCAACAAGAGAGGUGCACUAUGCUAAUUGCUGCUAAAUUUAUUUCAGAUCCCAUGUCCUGCUACCACCAUAUACUAAUCAAACAUGCUUGGCCAGGGAUGAGUCCAAGAACUACAUAGAACUGAGCCACUGUAAUGUCUAUAAAGACAGCACAUCAUUAUUUGCUGUUGUAUCCUGAGAAUACAUACAACAGUGCCUGGUACAUGAUAGGCAUUUAAAGACUAUUUGUUGAGUGCCUAGCACCUGACAGCUAUUAAAAAUAGUUCCAGUAGAAGUUAGUAAAUUAAUACCACAGCUUUCUUAGUAUUUGCCCCCCCUUAUAAUAUCAUAUGUAAAAUUCUGCUGAUAGACAAUCAACGUCUUUUGUCACUUUAAUUCCAAAACAUGUUACAUUUCAUAUACUUAUAUUUCCAUAUUUAAUUCUGAGUCAUGACUAUAGUUGUAAAAAAAUUCCUAGACGAUGAAGGAUAUGGAGAGGUUGGCCUACUGAUUAACAUUAUAGGGUAAUGAUGAACAUUGAAAUUUAAUUUUUCAUCUCCUCUUGUCACUCCCUCUUUAGCCAUUUUAAGGUUACCAUCCAUGAAGUAGCAGAUUGAUUAAGUUCUACUUUAAAUAACCCUUCACUUGGAGUGGAAAUCAGUCAGCCUUGUUGAAGGAACUCCUAAGCAGAAAGGGAAAAAAAAUGAAAUCCCAGGACAUUAGGGAGCAAUUGAGUAUUUAAAGAAUCAUUCAAAGGAGAACCUCUAUAUGCACUAUCAUAAGCAUUUUUAUCUAUAUUAAAAAAAAUGAAGAGCUGAGUCAACUCAGGCAGGAAUUGAAUAUGCCAUUUUAUAGAGUCUCAAUAUAACAAAAAUGAAACAUGCAUCACUAAUCCACCUUGCCAGCUUAUACAGCUUUUGAGAGUGAAAGGCUCUUAGUAAUAACAUUAAUUAUUAUUAAAUAUUAUUAGCUUAGUGGUGUAGAGAAUAUAAACACCAAUAUUUACAGUCUUUUGGUAAAAUGUACUUUUAUUUUUUAGGACAUCCUAAAAUUGGCUAUCAAUUUAUAACACAACAUAUUGUAGAAUUGCCGUUUAAUAAUUUUUAGAACUAGCUAGAGUGAGCCAUUCCCUCUCAAAUGGCAUGUGUUCCAUUUUCUGUCUUAUCCUCAUCUUCACCACCUGCUAGUAGUGUUUCAGGCAACAAAACAACAGUGUUCUAAGCAGACAGUACAGCCUCCUCCAAAAUGGUAACAAUUCAGAUGGUUCACAAUAUGACAAAACCUUCAAGACUAUGAUAAAUGUUUUUUAUUUAUUUUUUUAUUUUUUCUUUUCUUCUUUUAAUGUUUAAACUUUGGAUUGUAAAGGGUGAUUAAAAAUUCUCUUGGGGUGUGCAUGUGUACAUAUGGAAGUAUAGAUUAAAAAACAGAGUUGAAUUAAAUAUAUCUUAGUCUAUCUUUAAUGAUACAUAUGUGUUGAAUCAGUUCUCUGCCAUCCAGAAGUUAACUAUUUUGUUUGGCCUUAUUUUAUGUGUCUGGCUUUCUAACUAUUUUAUUCAUUUUUUCUGUGAAUAAAUUGUUCUUUUUUUCCAGGUGGAAAGUGUCUUAGUCUUCUCAGGCUACUCUAACAAAAUACCAAAGACUGAGUGACUUAUAAACAACAGAUAUUUCUUUCUCAGUUCCGGAGGGUGAGAAGUCCAACAUCAAGGGGCCAGCAGAUUCAGUGUCUAGUUGGGGACCCCAUCCUGGUUCACAGCCAUCCAUGUUUACACUGUGUUCUCACCCGGCAUAAAUGGAUUAAGAUCCCUCUGGGGCCUCUUUUAUAAGGGUACUAGUACCAUUCAUGAGGGCUUUGCUCUCAUUACCUAAUCAACUCCAAAAGCCACACCUCCUGAUGCCAUCACCUUGGGAUUAGAAUUUCAACAUUUGAAAUUUGGGGGUGGAGGGCACAAAUGCUCGGUUUGUGGCAGAAAGUAAUCCCCAGCAUUAAUUAUGCUCUUUAUUCUUUAAAUGAAAGUCUUUUAUCAGUAAUAAGAAAUUUUGAUGAUAGAUAAAUAUUUUGGAAGGAGUGAAAGCAACAAAUAGUGAACAAUGAUUCCACUUAACAGUAUAUUUUGAAUACUGAAUUACUGAAUAAUGAUUCCACUUACAAUAUAUUUUGAAUACUGAAUGGCUUGCCAUACUGUUUAAACAGUAUAUUUAGAAUGUAUUGUUGGUAGAAAAAUGUAUUUAGGACUUUCUCAAUUAUUGAUGUCUUGUAGGUAUUGUAUGUUUUGCAUAUUAAAGAAAGGAAAAACGUAUUAAUUUUAAGAAGAGCAAAAAGCAACAUUUUAAACAAAAUAUAAAAUAAGAAAAUGUUUUUAAUUGAUCUCUAUACUCAUAAGGGAAUAAAUAAAAUUAAUGGACACACGAUUUUUAGGAACUAAACAGUUAUGAGUCCCCUUUUAUCUUCAAGGAAAUAAACAUGAGUGCAGGUUGGGCUGAAUAGGAUUUUAUUCACUAACAACUUUAGAAAUAAAACUGUGUGGGUAGGUUUCAUAAUUUUAUGCCAAUUCCACUGGAAUGAAGUAAAGAUUUGAAUGAGUUAAGAAAGUAAGAAAUUAUAUUAUAGUGCUUUAGUAUUUUGAGAUGAAAAAUAGUCAAAGGAUAGAUAUUGACAAGGCCAACACUGAAAUUAUUCAAAUAUUCAUUUUUUUACACUGACCUACAAAAUGCAAGGAGAAAUUAUAAAGUAGAUAUUAUUUUACAUAAUAAAAAUUCAAUUUAAUUAAAUAAAAUUAUUUAAGCACCAACAUUUGAAAGAUAAUAUGCUAAGUGAUGAGUACACAGAAAUAAAUGACUCAAUGCCCAACUUCAAGAAUUCACAGCUGAUUAGGAAGACAAAUUACACCAAUUAUGACAUUACAAUGUGAUAAUGAAAUACCACCACCCAACUACUAAAGUAUACAAAAUUGAAAAAAAAAAAGAGAGAGAUAAAGAGAGAGAGAGAGUGCACGCACGCGCAUGUGAGAGAGACUGAAGAAAACAACAUUAGUGAAGAUUUAGAGCAACUGGAGCUCUCAUAGAGUGCCAAAAGGAACCUAAGAUGGUACAGCCCCUUAAGAAAACAGCUUGGUAGUUUCUUAACCUGUUAAAUAUACAGCUACAAUAUGAUCCAGCCAUUCCACUUCCAUGUAUCCAAAAUAAAAUAUAUGUCCAUACAAAUAAUUCUGAGUAAAUGUUCACAUCAUAAUUAUUUGUAAUAGCCAAAAACUUGAAACAACUCAAAUGCCCACAAAAAAUUGAAUGGUUAAGCAAUCUGUGAGAUACUUAUACAAAAGAAUACUUCUCAAUAAUGAGUUAUUGCUGUAUAGAACAAUGUGGAUGAAUAUUAAAAUAAUUAUAUUCAGUGAGAAGCCAGACAAGAUGGUAAAUUCCUUAUGAAGACAUUCAUAAGAAAUUUUUUUAAUCAACAAAAAUUUGUUUAUUUAUUUUUGAGAGAGAAAGAGACAGAGCACGAGUAGGGAAGACAGAGAGAGGGAGACACAGAAUCCGAAGCAGGGUCGAGGCUCUAAGCUGUCAGCACAGAGCAAUACGUGGGACUCAAACUCAUGGGCCAUGAGAUCAUGACCUGAGCCAAAGCUGAAUACUUAACCCACUGAGCCAUGAAGGUGCCCAUUUAAAAAAUAAGAAUAAUGUUUAUUUUUGAAAGGGAGAAAGAGAACAUGAGCAGAGGAGGGGCAGAGAAAGGAGACACAGAACCUGAAGCAGAGAGAGAGAAAGAGAGAGAGAGAGAGAGAGAGAGAGAGAAUGUGAGCAGGGGAGGGGCAGAGAGAGAAGGAGACACAAUCUGAAGCAGGCUUUUGCAUAUGAGCCAUCAGCACAGAGCUUGAUGCAGGGCUUGAACUCAUCAAUCGUGAGAUCAUGACCUGAGCUGAAAUCGGAUGCUUAACCAACUGAGCCACCCAGGCGCCCAUAUAAAAAUUUUUUAAAGCACACUAAUUUAUAGUGUCAGAAAGCCGUUCAAUGACUACCUAUUUGGAGAUGGCAACAAAUGUGAGGAUAGAAUUACUAAGAGGUAAAAGAAAACUUACACAAGUGUUGGAUGUGUUAUCAUUUUAAUGGUUUAAUGAGUUUAUAUGUUGAAACUUAUUACAUUGUAGAUAUUUUUUCUCAUUUUUAAUUGAAGUAUAGUUGAUAAUGUUAUAUUAGUUUCAAGUGUACAACAUAAGUGUUUUGAAAUUCUAUACAUUACCUAAUGCUCACCAUGAUUAGUGUAAUUACAAAGUCAUUACAAUAUUGUUGACUAUAUUUCCUAUGCCAUACCUUUCAUCCCCAUGAAUUACUCACUUUAUAACUGGAAUUCGUACCUCUUAGUCCCCUUCACCUAUUUUGCCCAUGCCACCAUCCACCUCCAUUCUGGCAAUCACCAGUUUGUUCUCUGUAUUUAUGGGUCUGUUUUGUUUGUUUAUUCAUUUGUUUUGUUGUUUAGACUCCACAUAUAAGUGAAAUAAAAUGGUAUUUGCCUUUCUAUCUGACUUAUUUCACUUAGCAUAAUACCUUCUAGAUCCAUCCAUGUUGCUUCAAGUGACAAGAUUUUAUUCUUUUUUAUGGCCAAGUAAUUUUCCAUUGUGUGUAUGUGUGUAUACAUACAUUGUAUGUGUGUGUUUGUAUCUAUCACAUCUUCUUUAUUCAUUCAUUUAUCAAUGAACUCUUAAGCUGCUUCCCUAUCUUGGUUAUUAUAAAUAAUGUUAAUGCUGCAAUAAACAUAAUGGUGCAUGUAUCUUUUCAAAUUAGUGUUUUCAUUUUCUUGGGAUAAAUACCCAGUAGUAAAAGUACUGGAUCGUAUGGUAUUUAUAUUUUUAAUUUUGGGGGAAAACUAUCAUACUGUUUUGCAUAGUGGCUGUACCUAUAUACAUUCCCACCAACAAUGCACAAGGUUCCCUUUUCUUCACAUCCUCCCCAACAUUUGUUAUUUCUUGUCUUUUUUAUAAUAGCCACUCUGACUGGUGUGAGGUGGUAUCUCAUUGUGGUUUUGAUUUGCAUUUCCCUGGUGAUUAGUGAUGUUGAGCAUCUUUUCAUGUGACUGUUGGCUAUUUGGAUGUUUUCUUUGGUGAAAUGUCUGUUCAGGUCCCCUGCCCAUUUUUUAAUCAGAAUAUUUGUGUUUUUUUUUUUUUUUUUGAUGUUGAGUCAAUCCCUUAUGAGGUGUAUUGUAUGCAAAUACUUCUCCCAUUCCAUAGGUUGUAGUUUUGUUCUGUUGAUGGUUUCCUUCACUGCACAAAAGGUUUAUAUUUUGGUGUAGUCCCAACCUACUAUUUUGGCUUUUGGCUUUUGUUUCCCUUGCCUGAAGAGAUAUAUCUGGAAAAAUGUUGCCAGGGCUGAUGUCCAAGAGAUUACUGCCUACAUAUUCCUUUAGAAGUUUUAUGGUUUCAGGUCCUACAUUUAGCUCUUUAACACAUUUUGGGUUUAUUUCUGUGUAUAAUGUAAGAGAGUGAUCCAGUUUCAUUCUUUUACAUGUAGCUGUCCAGUUUUCCCAAAACCAUUUAUGGAAGAGACUGUCUUUUUGCCACCGUAUAUUCUUGCUUUCCUUGUUGUAUAUUAAUGACCAUAUAAACCUGGGUUUAUUUCUGGGCUUUCUAUUCUGUUCCCUUUAUCUAUGUGUAUAUUUUUGUGCCAGUACUAUAUGGUUUCUAUUAUCAUAGUUUGUAGUAUAGCUUAAAAUCUGGGAUUCUGGAGUAGACUAUAUAUUAACUAUACUUCAAUAAAGGUGAUAAAACAAAAGAAAAAACCAAGAAAAUAUAUUUUUAAAUUAUUUCAACGGUAUUUGACUGUUAAAAGCAAAAAGUAAUUAAUUAUUAAACACUACCUUGGGGUUUUCAACAUAAGUAGACAUAAAGUAUAUGAUAUAAAUUGCACAACAGAAGGUGCAGGAGAACUAUACUAUUGCAACUUCCCUAUAUUUCACACUGAGUACUAUAAUUUUAACCUGUAAAUGGUGUGUAUUAUAAUCCCUAGAAUAAGAAGGUUAGAUAUAGAUAUACAGAUACAUACACACACAUGUACACACACACACACACACACACACACACACACAGUGGUGUAAUAGUGACUAGAGAAACCAGAAAUAUGCCCACAUGUAUAUGGAUCUUUUCAAAAAAAUGGUACUGGUUCCACUAUACAUAUAUAUAUAUGGAAAGAAAACAGCUAUAAACCUUACUUUACACAAUACACAGAAAUUAAUUCAAGAGGGAUAAUAGCCUUAUCUGUAAAAGCUAAAACAAUAAAGCAUUUAGAAUAACAACGACAAGACUAUCUUCAUGACUUAUACCAUUAGUCAUCAGAGAAAUAUAUAUUGAAACCAUAACAAGAUACUACUAGAAAUCUACUAGAGAGGUUAAAUGUAUAAAGGCUGACAACACUCAAAUGUCAAUGAUUAUGUGGACCUACUAGAACUCUUACAUUCAUUGUUGAUGGGAAUGUAAAUGUUAUAAUUACUUUGGACAUAAAGGUUUGGAAAUUCUUACAAAGUAAAUAUUUGAUCCAGCAAUCCUAUUUCCAGGUAAUAAUAAAAAAAAACAAAAAAAACAAAAAAAAACACUGGUCCAGAGAAAGAUUUUAUACCCAAAUAUUCACAGCAGUUUCAUAACAGCCCAAAACUAUAAGUAACCCAAAUGCCAAUCAUCAGGAAAAUGGAUAAAUGAUGUGUGGUAUAUUAAUAUCAUGAGUCAAUAUUAUGCAAAAAAAACCCAAAAAAAUUAUUGAUACACACAACAUGGAUGAAAUGUAUAGACAUUAUGGUGAACCAGAGAAUCUGCACACAUAAUAGUACAUACAUAUGAUUCAAUGUAUAAGAAGUCCUAGAACAGGCAAAACUAAUUUAUAGUGAGAAAAAGUCAUGGUUGUCUAUGAGUUCAAGGAUAACUGACCAGCAAAGAACAUGAGAAAUACUUGGACUGAUGAAAAUAUCCUAUGUUUUUACAGGAAGUGUGGAUCAUAUGUACCCAUUUAUCAAAAUUAUAUAUUUCAUACUAUGCAUUUCAGUUUAUUCACAUGAUAUCUGAAAAACUGAAUAAUAGUGUAAAGAGUAGAUGGAGAAAGACUAAAUAAGGAUAUUUGAUCACAAAUACUGAUGCUUUUUGUAGCUUGGUAGUGGAUACAUGAGGAUUAAUUAUAUUAUAAUUAAAACUCUCCAUACUAAAAUGUGUAAAAAGAUUAAAGUAUAUGAGUUCCAUAAUGGAGAGCACAUGUGUUUGUAUGGGGGGAGCGGAGACAGUGAUAAUUAUUGCAGAAAAUCAAGGCUAAGGAAAGUACCUUCAUGGAGAAUAAAACUGGAAAACCUUAAGAAACAAAAGACCAUACAAGAUUAUUAGCUUCUCUUUUUUUAUAAUAUGCUAAUCAGCAGGAGCAUCGAUGUGUGAGUAAGAAGACAGAUUUAUGUAUUAGAGAGACUCAGGUUUGUAUUUUUGUUCUUCUUUAUUAGCUUUGUUACUUUGCGCAAAGCAAUUAACCUUUCUGAGCUUCAGUUUAUUCAACUCUAAAAUGAGAUUAAUUAUCUGUAACUCCAAAGGUGGCGAUGAGAAUAUGGCAACCUUAACAUAUUGUAAGCAUUUACUACAUUGCAUGAAGUUUAGUACAUAUUAAAGGAAAUUCGUUUUCCUCAGUUUUCAGCCCACCCUUUGCUAUCAUCCCGGCCCGUUAAAGAAGCUAUAGGAAAGUAGGAGUUACAUUAUAUCGUUUAAAUUAAUCCACAUAUACUUCUAGUCUUGGGAAACAAAGGUCAAGAUAUAAAAGAAUAAUACGGUGGAAAGAAAAUCAGAUUUACAGUCAGGCUGGGACUGUCUUAGUUACUACUAGCUGUGCAGCUUUAAGUAAGACUACUGUGAAAUGAAUAUAAUAACUAAAUUGCGGGAUUAAAUGAAAUACUGUGAUAAAAUUCCUUGAAUAGUGAUGUUUUGUAUAUAUUUGUCACUAAACAAAUUGAAGCUACUUUUAUUAUUAACAUCAAAUAAGUGCUACUACAAAGGCUUGUUUUGUUGUUCAAUUACUUGUAAUCUAUACAAAGUCUAGAUUGGAAGUAAAGUUUUAUAGACUAACUGGUCUGUGUGAAGACUUUUCAAUUGACAAAUUGAGUCCUAGAGUUUUGUAAGAACCAAGGACACAUAUUUGUAAUUCUGAAUAGGAGCUUUUCCUCACCAAUACAUAGGGCAAAAUAUCCUUUAUGUCAGUUCUUGAGGCCCUGAAUCUGAGGAAUUAGAAUAAAUCAUUUUGCAAGCAUAGUGGCCCACAUAGUUUAACUAGAGCAAAAGUAGCAAAGCAAAAAUUUAAGGAGAUUUAUAUGAUUGAGCAUAUUUAGCAAAACUGGAGACUGAGAGUGAAGAAAUCUGUCCUGAUGCUGAAAGCUGUAACUCUGAAGAGUUGAGUGAUGUUAUCAAAGCAGCAUAUAAAGAAGAUGGAUUUUGGGCCACCUGGGUGGCUCAGUCGGUUAGGCGUCAACUUCAGCUGAGGUCAUGAUUUCACAGUUUGUGAGUUCGAGCCCCUCAUCAGGCUCUGUGCUGACAGCUCAGAGCCUGGAGCCUGCUUCAUAUUCUGUGACUCCCUCUCUCUGCCCCUUUCCUUCCCAUGCUGUUUUUAAGUCCCUCUCUCUCAAAUAUAAGUAAACAUUAAAAAAAAAUAAUUAAAAAAAAGAAGAUGGCUUUUUAGCUAUCAUUUAGGAUUAUGUUGGGAAGAAAUAUUUUAAGUUUAUUUAUUUUGAGAGAGAGAGGGAGGGAGGGAGGGAAAGACAGAGAGAGAGAGAAGAAGAAAGAGAAUCCCAAGCAGACUCCACGCUAUCAGUACAGAGCCCGACAUGGGCUCAAUUCCACAAAACAUGAGAUCAGGACCUGAGCCCAAAUCGAGAGUCAGAGGCUUAACCAACCGAGCCACCCAGGCACCCCAUAAAUCUUAAGUUUGUGACAAAAGUAUUAUUGUAGCACAUGUGUCAUUUGUUAAUACACCUUGCAAGAUCUUAGAAAAUAUAGUCCAUUUUUACCAUUUGUAAUAAAUAUACAAUAGUACUGGAUUUCUGAUUCAGCUAUAACUUUUUAGGAUUGGGCAAAAAACUCUAAUGUCUGAAAUAUUUUUGGCCUAUCUGUUCUUUUCAAAACCUGAAAAACAAGUACUAUAACAUAAAGGUACAAUGAUUCAAGUGACCUAUAUUAAAUUUCUUUGAGAAUGUCUGUCAGAUAUCUGGAAGAAGGGACUCCAUAAAAUAAUGAAUAAUUUAAGGAAUUAAAUUAUAAUUAACAAAUAUAAGAACACCAUAGUUGAGAAACAAAAGACUUACCUGAAGUACCUUGCAAGGUGAAAGAGAAUAGCUGGGGGGANNNNNNNNNNNNNNNNNNNNNNNNNNNNNNNNNNNNNNNNNNNNNNNNNNNNNNNNNNNNNNNNNNNNNNNNNNNNNNNNNNNNNNNNNNNNNNNNNNNNNNNNNNNNNNNNNNNNNNNNNNNNNNNNNNNNNNNNNNNNNNNNNNNNNNNNNNNNNNNNNNNNNNNNNNNNNNNNNNNNNNNNNNNNNNNNNNNNNNNNNNNNNNNNNNNNNNNNNNNNNNNNNNNNNNNNNNNNNNNNNNNNNNNNNNNNNNNNNNNNNNNNNNNNNNNNNNNNNNNNNNNNNNNNNNNNNNNNNNNNNNNNNNNNNNNNNNNNNNNNNNNNNNNNNNNNNNNNNNNNNNNNNNNNNNNNNNNNNNNNNNNNNNNNNNNNNNNNNNNNNNNNNNNNNNNNNNNNNNNNNNNNNNNNNNNNNNNNNNNNNNNNNNNNNNNNNNNNNNNNNNNNNNNNNNNNNNNNNNNNNNNNNNNNNNNNNNNNNNNNNNNNNNNNNNNNNNNNNNNNNNNNNNNNNNNNNNNNNNNNNNNNNNNNNNNNNNNNNNNNNNNNNNNNNNNNNNNNNNNNNNNNNNNNNNNNNNNNNNNNNNNNNNNNNNNNNNNNNNNNNNNNNNNNNNNNNNNNNNNNNNNNNNNNNNNNNNNNNNNNNNNNNNNNNNNNNNNNNNNNNNNNNNNNNNNNNNNNNNNNNNNNNNNNNNNNNNNNNNNNNNNNNNNNNNNNNNNNNNNNNNNNNNNNNNNNNNNNNNNNNNNNNNNNNNNNNNNNNNNNNNNNNNNNNNNNNNNNNNNNNNNNNNNNNNNNNNNNNNNNNNNNNNNNNNNNNNNNNNNNNNNNNNNNNNNNNNNNNNNNNNNNNNNNNNNNNNNNNNNNNNNNNNNNNNNNNNNNNNNNNNNNNNNNNNNNNNNNNNNNNNNNNNNNNNNNNNNNNNNNNNNNNNNNNNNNNNNNNNNNNNNNNNNNNNNNNNNNNNNNNNNNNNNNNNNNNNNNNNNNNNNNNNNNNNNNNNNNNNNNNNNNNNNNNNNNNNNNNNNNNNNNNNNNNNNNNNNNNNNNNNNNNNNNNNNNNNNNNNNNNNNNNNNNNNNNNNNNNNNNNNNNNNNNNNNNNNNNNNNNNNNNNNNNNNNNNNNNNNNNNNNNNNNNNNNNNNNUAUAUAUAUAUAUAUAUAUAUGAACUUUCAUUUAAAAUACCAUACCAUAUUAAGGGGGGGGGCACCUGGGUGGCUCUGUUGGUUAAGCGGCUCAGGUCAUGAUCUCAUGGUUUGUGGGUUCAAGCCCCAUGUCCUAGCGGACAGCCAGGAGCCUGAAGCCUCCUUCAGAUUCUGUGACUCCCUCUCUCUCUGCCCUUCCCCUGCUCACACUCUGCCUCUCUCUCAAAAUUAAAUAAACAUUUAAAAAAUUAAAAUAAAAUAAAAUAAAUAAAAUAAGAUAAAAUAAAAUAAAAUACCAUAUUAAGGGAAGCCUGGAUGGAUCAGACCGUUAAGUGUCUGCCUUUUAGUUUCAGCUCAGGUCAUGAUCUCUGUUUCGUGAGUUUGAGUCAUGCAUUGGGCUCUGUGAUGGAGGUAUGGAGCCUGCUUGGGAUUCUCAUUCUUUCUCUCUCUUUGCCCCUCCCCCACCUGCACUGUCUUUGUAUCUUUCAAAACAAAUAAAUGAACUUAAAAAAAUACCAUAUUAAAUAUUUACAUAGGUAACAUAAAUGUAUAUCUGAUAAAAUUGAUUUUAAAAUAUAGGCAUACAUUUUAGCAUCUUCUAUUAUAAUCAUUUAUAUAUAGCUAAUAUCAUAUUUAUCAUAUUUUAUUAGAAUAGUAUUUGUACAGUAUUGUUUAAAAAGGAGGGCAUAAAAUAAUAUUACAAUCAAUAAAUGCAAAUAAAGCAUGUGGACAGUUCAGUGUUCAAAAUCCUUGCAAAUAUAAGAUAACUGUUGCUUAAAUACAUUAGUAUUAUUUAUUUGCAAUAUCUAGGCUUUGGGUGGGCAGAAAUGAUAGGAAAGCAUUUUGUUGAUGGUAGUGCUUUCUUUUUUCAAUUGAUAAUCUUUCAGUAUCAAAUCAACAAGGAAUACAAACGUUUACUUCAAGAAGAGACUUAAAAAAAGAAGUAGUGACUAUAGUAAUAAGUGGUAUGAAAUGAUUUGGGACCUUUUUUACCCAAGCUGAAAAAGUCUAAUUAACUUGUAUCUUUUGCAAAUGCCCUCUAAGAAUAUAUCUGGUAAAUUCACUGAUUGCUAUUGCAAUCUACUUGAGGGCAGGCUAUGAUUCUUAUACUAUUUUACACUAACAACUCAUAUUCUGCCAUAUUGAGUGAUUUCCUGGAUAUUAUUAAUGUGAUAUUAUCUGUUCAAAAUGUACAUUUAAAUCAUAUUUAUAAUUAAAUUGUCAAAAGUAUUAUGUCAUUUAAAAACUAUACUUAUUUUUAGCAAAUCUUUGCAAAAAAAUUCUAUGAAAUACUCAAUCUCUGAAUAUCUUUGUUAAUUGUGACUCCUAGUAGACAAUAUUAGCUCAUUAACAAGCAAUUCAGAAAUGCAUCUGUAAGUGGAAUACUGAAAAGAAACACACAGAUAUACAUAUGCAAUGAUUUUAUGUGUAUAUGGUGGUAUACUAUUAAGUACUGUUGUAUUAAUAGAGACAUCUGAAAGUUAUGACCUAUUCGUUAAUGAGUAUCAACAAUUUUGAUACUAAUCAUGACCAAAGAAACAAUGUGGAACUUUGACAAAGCAUUUUAAUUUCUCUGGAUCAUAUGGCACUGAUAAUAAAAUAAUUAAAAAUUAUGUUAGCCACAAGUUUUCAGAAUAUGACUGAAAGGACACUCUGGAUUGUGAAACAUUUAAAAAUUUUUAAUGGGGGCGCCUGGGUGGCGCAGUCGGUUAAGCGUCCGACUUCAGCCAGGUCACGAUCUCGCGGUCCGUGAGUUCGAGCCCCGCGUCAGGCUCUGGGCUGAUGGCUCAGAGCCUGGAGCCUGCUUCCGAUUCUGUCUCCCUCUCUCUCUGCCCCUCCCCCGUUCAUGCUCUGUCUCUCUCUGUCCCAAAAAUAAAAUAAACGUUGAAAAAAAAAAUUUUAAUAAAAAUAAUAACACUGCAAUUUUAAUAAAGUGAAAAUGAAAGGCACAGACUAUGUUCUCAUUCAACAGAGACAUAUUUAAGUUUGAUCUAUUUUAACAUAAUACUUGAUAUGGUUAAGUUAUAUCAAGAUAUAAUGUGAGAAUGUAAAAUAUUAGGAUAGAAGCUAAAGAAUUACUUUUUUUUAUUUUACAGAAAAUCAUAAAGACAAAUCCCUCAAUUCCCAACAAUGAGGGCUCCAAGGAAGGAAAAAGCACCCACUAUCCUGCCAUAAGCUUAAGAUUACUUUAAGCAUAAGCAAAGAUUACUCUUUGAUGUAAUCUUGCAACACUGGUGGUAGGAUUUUAAAGAACUAUCUUGGCUUAACUCCUAACCCUAAACCUUAAGUCUUGUGCCUUGACUGAAAACAAUCCUUCUUGUUCUGGGGCUCCACUCUUGUCUAUGUAAUACAGAGAAACUUACUUUGCAUAUGGAAUUGUAAUAUUAAAUAAACACUGGAGGAACUGUUUUUGAACUUCCAGAGGAUUCCUCUAGUAUUAUUUAAUUACUUAAACCAUUUUGACUUACAUUUUCUAUAUGAUUUGAGGAAGAGGUCCAACUUCAUUCUAUUACCUGUGGCUAUACACUGUCAAGUCCAUUUCAUUGAUCUACAUGGAUCUAUUCAUAAACCAUUUCUCUUGAUUACUAAACUUUAGAGUAAGAUACGACAUCAGCACGUGUUAACUCUGCAGCAUUUUUUUUUUACCAUUGGUUUGGAUACUCAAGUUUCCUUUGUAUUUCCACAUAAAGUUUGGCAACAGCUUGUCAAUUUCUGUUAAAAAGCUGGAAUAUUUAGAAGAUUUCAUUGAAUUGCUAGAAUUUUAAUCCCACAUCCACUAGUCAGUAUGACUUGAAGAAAAACAUAUUCACUUUAGUAAAGAAUGGGUUCAAACCUAAUCAAUCAUCAACAACUGCCACAUAAAGAAGAUGUUCUAUACAAUCAAAUGGUAACCACAAAUCAAAAACCAGUAAGAGAUGUGCAAAAAAUAAAAGAGUCUAAAUAUAUCAAGAAAGAAAGCCAAUUAACUGUGAGAGAAGAGAGCAAGAGAAGAAAGGAACACAGAAAAACUACAAAAACAGCCAUAAAACAAGUAACAAAAUUAAAAUAACUACAAACCUAUCAAUAAUUACUUUGAAUGUAAACGGACUAAACAUUCCUAUCAAAAUAACAGAGAGACUGAAUGGAUAAAAAAAAGCAAGACCCACCUAUAUGCUGCCAAUAACAGACUACUUGCAGACCUGUAAACAUAUGCAGAUUCAGUGUAAUGAAUAGAAAAGCAUUUACCACACAAAUGGAUGUGAAAAGAAAGCUGAGGUAGCAAUACUUAUGUUGAACAAAACAGACUUUAAAACAAGGACUGUAACAAGAGACCAAGAAGGACACCAUACAAUCAUAAAGGGAACCAUCCAACAAGAUAUAACAAUUGUAAAUAGUUAUGAGCCCAACAUGAAAGCACCCAAAUAGAUAAAGCAAUUACUAAUAAACAUAAAGAAAGUAAUCAAUGGUAAGACAAUAAUACUAGAGAUGGUUAACACCACACUUCCGUCAAUGGACAAAUCAUCCAAACAGAAAAUGAACAAGAAAAGAGUGGCUUUGAAUGACACAUUGAACCAGAUGGAUUUAACAGAUAUAUUCAGAACAUUCUAUCUGAAAACAUCAGAAUACACAUUCUUUUCAAAUGCACAUGGAACAUUCUCCAGAAUAGAUUACAUAUUAGGCCAUGAGACAAAUCUCAACAAAUUCAAAAAGAUCGAAGUCAUACCAUGCAUCUUUUGUGACCAAUGAUAACUAGAAAUCAACUACAAGAAAAAAAUCUGAAAAGAGCACAAAUACCAGGAAGUUAAAUAACAUGCUACUGAACAACAAAUGGAUCAACUAAGAAAUCAAAGAGGAAAUCAAAAAAUACAUGGAGACAAAUGAAAAUGAAAACACAAGGGUCCCAAAUCUUUGGGAUGCAGCAAAAGUAGUUCUAAGAGGGAAGUUUAUACCCAUUCAAGCCUUAUCUCAAGAAGCAAAAAACAAAACAAAACCAAAUCUAAUAAACAACUUAACCUUACACCUAAAGGAGCUUAAAAAAGAAGAUAAGCAAACCCAAAACCAGUAAAAGGAAGGAUAUAAUAAAAGAGCAGAGCAGAAAUAAAUGAAAUAGAAACAAAAACAUCCCCAACACCAACAAAAACACAAUAGAACAGGUCAAUGAAACCAAAAGAUCAACAAAACUUAUAAAAGACAGAGACAGAGAGAAAAAGGGAGAGACAGAGAUAAAAAACAAACAAAACAACUUACAAAAACAAAACAAAACAAAACAAAAACAGAAAUGAAAGAGGACAAAUAACCAACACCACAGAAAUACAAAAGAUUAUAAGAAAAUAUUGUGAAAAAUUAUAUGCCAACAAGUUGUACAACCUGGAAGAAAUGGAUAAACUCCUAGAAACAUAUAACCUACCAAAACUGAAUCAAGAAGAAAUAGAAAAUUUGAAUAGACCUAUUACCAGCAAUGAAAUUGAAUCAGUAAUCAAAAAACUCCCAAAAAACAGAAGUACAGCAUCAGACAGUGUGUAGCUGAAUUCCACCAAACAGUUAAAGAGUUAAUACGUAUUCUUCUUAAACUUUUCCAAAAACUAAAGGAGGAGGGAAAUCUUCCGUUGUAUGGGGGCACCAUUACCCUGAUACCAAAACCAGAUAAAGACACUAAAAUAUCUCUGACGAACAUGGAUGCAAAAACCUUCAACAAAAUAUUAGCAAACCAAAUCCAACAAUACUUAAAAAAAAAAAAAAACAUUCACCAGGAUUAAGUGGGAUUUAUUCCCGGGAUGCAAGGGUGGUUCAAUAUUUGCAAAUCAAAGAUAGGAGAAAUGAUGAAAACCAUAUGACCUUUUCAAUAGAUACAGAACAAGCAUUUGAUUUGACAAAGUACAAUAUCCAUUCAUGAUAAAAACACUUAACAAAGUAGGUUUAGAGGGAACAUAUAUCAAUAUAAUAAAGGCCAAAUAUGAAAAACCCGCAGCUAGCAUCAUCAUACUCCAUUGUGAAAAACUGAGUGCUAUGUCCAUUCUCACCCUUCUAUUCAACGUAGUACUGGAAGUCCUAGCCACAGAAAUCAGACAAGAGAAAGGUUUAAAAGUUAUCCAGAUUGGUAAGGAAGAAGAAAAAUUUUCACUAUUUGCAGAUGACAUGAUACAAUAUACAGAAACUCUAAAGAUUCCACCUAAAAACUACUAUAACUGAUAAAUGAAUUCAGUAAGGUCACAGUAUAUAAAAUUGAAGUAUAGAUAUCCAUUGCAUUCCUGGGGCGUCUGGGUGGCUCAGUCGGUUGAGUGUCUGACAUCAGUUCAGGUCAUGAUCUCGCGGUCUGUGGGCUCAAGCCCCACAUCGGGCUCUGUGCUGACAGCUCAGGGCCCGGAGCCUGCUUCGGAUUCUGUGUCUCCCUUGUUCUCUGCCCCUCCCCCACUCAUGCGCGUGCACGCGCCUGCGCGCUCUCUCUCUCUGUCAAAAAUAAAUAAACAUUAAAAAAAAUUUAGAAAUCCAUUGCAUUCCUUUACACUAUUGGUGAAGUAGCAGAAAGAGAAAUUAAGAAAAUAAUCUUAUUUACAAUUGUACCAAAAAAUAACAAAAUAUCCAGGAAUAAACUUAGUCAGUGAGGUGAAAAACCUGUAUUCCAAAAGCUAUAAAUCAUUGAUGAAAGAAAUUUAAGAUGACACAAACAAAUGAAAUGACAUUCCAUGAUCAUGAUUUGGAAGAGCAAAUAUUGUUAAAAUGUCCAUACUACCCAAGGCAAUCUACAGCUUUAAUGCAAUCCUUAUCAAAAUACCAACAGCAUUUUUCACAAAACUAGAAUAAAGAUUCCUAAAAUUUGUAUGGAACCACAAAAGACACCAAACAGCCAAAGCAAUCUUGAAGAAGAAAAACAACACUGGAGGUAUAAUAAUCCCAGAUUUUGAGUUAUACUACAAAGGUGUAGUAAUGAAAACAGUAUGGUACUGGCACAAUGUGUCUAUGGACACAUAGAUCAAUAGAACAGAGUAGAGAAGCAAGAAAUAAACCACGAUGAUACGGUCAAUUAAUCUUCAAUAAAGGAGACAAGAAAAAAAUUGAAAAAAGACAUUCUCUUCAAAAAAUGGUGUUGAGAAAACUGGACAGCUACAUGCAAAUGAAUAAAACUGGACCACUCUCUUACACCAUACACAAAAAUAAACUUAAAAUGGAUUAAGGACUUAAAUGUGAGAUCUGAAAUCAUAAAAGUCCUAGAAGACAGCACAGGCUGUAAUUUCUCUAACAUUGGCCAUAGCAACAUUUCUCUAGAUAUGUCUCCUGAGGCAAAGGAAACAAAAGCAAAAAUAAACUACUUGAACUACAUCAAAAUAAAAAGCUCUACACAGCAAAGGAAAGAACUAACAAAACUAAAAGGCACCCUACUGAAUAGAAGAUAUUUGCAAACAAUAUAUUAAACAAAGAACUUACACAACUUAACACACAAAAGAACAAUUAAAAAUGGGCCUAAGAUAUGAAUAGAAAUUUCUCUAACAAAGACAUACAGAUGGCCAAUAGACACAAGAAAAGAUGCUCAAAAUCACAUCCUCAUGAGAGAAAUGCAAACCAAAACUACAAUGAGAUAUCACAUCACACAUGUCAGAAUGGUUAAAGUCAAAAUCACCAGAAACAACAAGUGUUGACAAGGAUGUGGAGAAAGGGGACCCCUCUUGAACUGUUGGUGAGAAUGCAAACUAGUGCAGCCACUGUAGAAACAAUAAUGGAGGUUUCUCAAAAAAUUAAACAUAGAACUACCAUAUGAUCCAGUAAUUCCAUGUACUGGGUAUUUACCCAAAGAACAUGAAAGGGCCAGUUCAAAGGGAUAUAUGCACCUCUAUACUUAAUGUAGCAUUAUUUACAAUAGCCAAAUUAUGGAAACAGCCAUGUGUCCAUUGAUAGAUAAAUGGAUAAAUAAAAAUAUAUAUAGUAUAUAUGGUAUAUGCCAUACACACACACACACACAAUAGAAUAUUCAUCAACCUUAAAAAGAAUUAAAUCUUGCCAUUGGCGACAACAUGGAUGAAUCUAAAGAGUAUAAUCUCAAGUAAAAUAAGUCAGUCCGAGAAAAGCAAAUAGCAUAAGAUUUCACUUACAUGUGGAGUUUAAGGAUCAAAACAAAUGAAAAAAGGAAAAAAAAAAAAGAGACAAACCAAAACACAGACUCUUAACUACAGAGAACAAACUGACAGCUACCAUAGGGGAGGUGAGUGGAGUAAUGGGUGAAAUAGCUGAAGGGGAUUAAAGAGUACACUUGAUGAACACUGAGUGAAGUACAGAAUUGUUGAAUCACUACAUUGUACACCUGAAAGUAAUAUAACAGUGUAUAUUAACUGUAUUGGAUUUUAAAAAUCUAUUCAUAAAAAAAAGAAAAACAUUUCCAUUUCUUUGGAUCUCAGUUUUUCCAACAGUGUCUUCUAUAGCCAUACAAUUUAUGACUUCAAAUUGGUUUGUACUAAAGGAAUUACAAAGGAUUCCUGGGUUUUAAUCCAUGAAAAGUCAGGCUAUAAAAUCUGGUUUCCUCCAGAAUGUGAAGGUUUGGAAUACAGAUACAGUUCUGUGGUAGACAUUUUUGGGUUGUUUGUGCAUUCAUAAUGAAGAUGCCCUCUCAGGAAACUCACCCCCUUUGAUGGCAUUGCAUGCAUAGGACCCUAGCGACUGCACUAGUAAAUGACACAAAUUCUAUUCUAUUCUAUUUCCUGACCAAGAAUAAUUGGAUACAGUGUAUGAACCUGGACCAAAUAAGAACAAUCAGAUUUUCUUCUUGUGUACUUACUGGGUCUGAUAAAACUUUGUGCAAAUGCAGCCAUAACAUGGGAAUCUAGAAUCCUGGAUCAUCAUUUAUUACUGUGUAGGCUGGAGAGCAGAGGAUAGGGAGAGGAGAAGGGAGAGGAGAGGUGCAGGAAAGGAGAAAGAGAAAUUCAUCGUAUAAACCACAAAGAAUAUAACAUUUUAGAAAUCUACAUUUUCUAUCCAGAAGGUGAGGUCAAAAGUUGAGGGUUGCAGUUGCCAGUCUACUUAUUAAAUUCAUUUUCUUUCUUUCUCUCUCUGUCUCUCUCUUUAGCUCUCUUUUUGCUUGUUUGUUUUGCUCUGUAAUAGAUUUGUGAGGGUGCAGAAAGAUAUAAUUUGGUUGAAAAGACCAAUAGCAUGUAUGCCGCAAAUUUUAGGAAAUCACUGACAUCAUGCUUUUUAGCCAUUGAUGUACAUAUAGUAAUUUUUAACGUAGACAGUUCUUUCAAUAUAAGUAAUUCAAACGUGUUUAAUAAGAUGACAACAACAAUAAAUCCUUAAUAUGUGUUAUGUUCUAUUGCAAGGACAUUACAAAUAAUGUAAUUAUUCUAAGGACAUUUCAAAUUUAUGUAAUCCUUGUAACAAUCCUGUGAGAUAGGCGCCAUCACCUGUCUCCACUUUUCAGAUGAAGAAACUGAGCCACAGUGGUUAACUAACUUGCUCAAGGCCACCCAGAAUUAAGCUGUUAUUUUCACAAAGACUAUCUGAUUCCUGAGUCUGUGAGUGUAACCAUUAUUCCAUACCUAAUCGCAAAUGAAAGGAGAGAUCUCUCAACAACUUCUCAUCCCAACCCCAAUGUCUAUAGUCUUCACAGGAACUAUACAGUAUUGAUCAUCCCUUUUGCUUUCUUUGUCUGCCACUUUCCCCAAUUUACUAGCUCAUUCUUAAUGGCAUUUAGAUGUGUUAAGGUUUCCCAAAUCUUACAAAUAUAUAAAUGCCUCUACUUCACUUACUCUUAUCACUAAGCAACUUUCACAUUUUCUUAAUUCUCUUUAAAGCUAAACUUGUUAAGAGAAUUGACUAUAGUUAUUAACCUUACCCCUUUAAUUUAUUCCCCAAACACAUUCCAAUCCACAAAUGUAGCUGCAACUUCUUCAAAAGAUUUUACUUCUAAGUUCAUUAUUGCCCUUUGUCACUGAACAUGAUAGGAUUCUUAAAAAUCCUUUUUAUCUUGACAUUUCAGUAGUUUUUAACACAGUAAAGGCUUUUAUUCUCUUGGCUAAACUGGUUUCCUUGUCUACUUCUUAACAACUACUUUUCUGCCACCUUUGCUGGCUUAUCACUCUAAAAUGAGCUUGUAAAUUGUAGAGUUAUGUUCAUUUUUGGCAUUACAUUUGUUAAACUUAAUUGCCAUUUAAAAAUAUUUUUUAAAUGACACUGGUUUGGCAGUAAAACAAAAUGGAUAUUGUGAAUGCAGAAAUGCCUGUGAAUAGCAAUGUGGCAUGAAUUUGAUAGUGCAGCAAGUGUAAGUCAAUGGAGAACUCACUGCAUCUCCACAUUUACUUGCAAAGUAACAAUGAAUUUCUUUAUGAUGUCUGAAAAAGAAGGAUACUAACAAUAGAUGAAGAUGAGUUAUAUUUUGUUACUGAAUUCUGUUCACAGAAAUUGCCUUUCACAUGCUAAGCUGGAAAUUACUGGCACCCAGAUUGUAGAAUGGAGUUCAGUGACUUGGAAGAAAAUUUUGGAAGCAAAAAUAGAGUGCAUUGUAAGAAAUCUUAGAGCAUUAACAUUCCUGAUAACAUAGAAAAUGAUAGUGUGUGUGUGUGUGUGUGUGUGUGUGUGCGUAUGUGUGUGUGUGUGAUGACAUCAAUACCACCCAGGGGAGCUUGACUGUGAAUAGAAAACAUUUUUAGGAAAACAUUAUCCAGUUGAUUUCUCUUCUAUUUACUUUCUAUGUAUGACCAAGAGUAGUUAUAUGAUAAAAUCUGUCUAACUAAAUCUUUAAAAAGUAUAACAUAUAAAAAAUUUAAGUGAUAAAAAAGCACUGCAUUGCCAUUUACUAGUUUUUUUUUCCUAGUAAUAAAAAAAUAGCACAUUUUAUAACUAAUGGCAUUUCCAAUUUGAUGAAAUACAGUAUCAUACCAUUUAUAAUGUGUGAUUAUUUGAUUUACUCUCCAUCUUCUCCUCUAGAUUAUAGACUCCAUGAAGAUAUGGACUCUAUUGUUUACCAUUCUAUCCCAGAGUCUCCAACAGUGCUUGACACAUAAAAUGGGUGAACUUCUUCUCAUUCAAAAGUACAAAAAAGAAUGGGUUUCAUUGUUGGUGUUCUGAGAUUUCUAUUGAUCAGAGGCCUCUGACUUUGGCACAGUAUGCUGUUUUUGCUAUGGUUAUCUGUGAACAUUUCAAGUUCUGUGUACAGUGACAUCAGAAGGGACUUCCUAAUUUAAGAAGUGUUGAGUUCUUAAAGCUCAUCUUCCUGGGUUUAAAUCACAUCAUCGGUCAAUUCUUCUGACAUUAUUUACUCUCACAAUCCCUUAAGCACUUCUAAAUUUACAUAGAACUCUCUGCAUUGUUCAGUUAGGUUUCACAAUGUUUUUGGCUUUCUUGAGAUAUUCAAAGUGUUUUCCCUCCUGCCUCUAGAGAACCAUCAAUUCCAUUCCGUUGGAGUAUUUAUAUCCCUAUUAAUUCUGUUCAACCCACUUGAUCUUUUUGACAGAAUUCUGUCCUCUUUUCAUAUAUAUUUUUUUCUUUCCAAUAUGUCAGCAGCACAAAUAAUGGAGACAAUAAAAUUACAUCUGACUCGAUUCUGUAUAGCCACCAUAAGAUGGUUUUGUCUGGCUCUAUAAUUAAAACCUUGUGAUCAUACUAAUGACACAUUACAUAGCACACACUUGUUAAGGUUAAAAUCAGAACUUGUGACCACCACAUGGAUAAAAAUUAGUUAAAUUCCAAAUAUUACAAAAUCGUCCUAUAGAAGCCAGCAACAUUACACUAACUCCACCUUUACCUUGUCUCCCUAAGUUUCAGCAGCCUGUGAGCAGAUAAGACUACUGGCAGCCUACCCCCCAGAGCAGAUGGAAGAAUGUUAGUGCUCAACAAAGGCCCCUGUGUGGUAUUUUAGAGAGUGUUUCACAUUUUCUUGCAAACAAGUCUGCUCCCACCAACUGCCACCACCAUGCUGCUGUCUCCCUCUGGGCAUUGGCACUCAUCUAGUCAUCUUUACAUUAUCCACUCGGGCCUCUAUGAAAUGUACUGCUGCUUUACUGGGCACCACAAUCUCCUGCCAUGAGCUAUGGUCACUCUGCCAAAUGCCUCUGCUUGUGCACAAAAGUGUGAGUGCCAAACAAACAAGGUUGUUUGUGAGAGAGCACUGUGCAAUCCUCUGAGUUACACUGUGGCAGGCUGGAGAGAAUGUCCUGCUAGAAAUAUUUUAGUCAAAUGGCUUUUGCCCUUUUGACUUAUUAUUCAUGUCUUCAUGGAAUUCUAGGGAUGGAAGAGACACUGGAAGGAUUAAUAUUCCAGAAUCACUAACUCCUUAAUGAAAAAGCUGGCUCCAGAGGCGCCUGGGUGGCUCAGUCGGUUAAGCCUUCGACUUCAGCUCAGAUCAUGAUCUCGUGGUUUACGGGUUCUAGCCCCGCGUCAGGCUCUGUGCUGACAGCUCGGAGCCUGGAGCCUGGAGUCUGGAGCCUGCUUCGGAUUCUGUGUCUCCCUCUCUCUCUGCCCCUCCCCCCUCACGCUCUGUCUCUCUCUCCUUCAAAAAUAAAUAAACAUAAAAAAAAGAUUUUAAAAAAAGCUGGCUCCAUGUAAGUGGGCAUAAUAACUCCCUAUGGCUGGCUCCUUUUUUUUGCUAAGGAUGGGGUGUCCUAGAAGGCUCCUCAGCCACUUCUCUUAGGUCUGCCCCAACUGUUCCUAGAAUAUCUUUACUGCUUAGACUCAAGUUUGACACCUGCUUAGAACAUACAAUUACAACAUAGAAAAUGCACAAUGCUAGCUGACUGGGUGAUACAAAAAGUAUGUUUAUGUCUUCUUUUUGUGGCUUAUAUUCUAAUUGGACAAAAUUAUCUUACAACCAAUUUUGAAGGAAUUUUGAAAUGUCAACUUUGUACAGCAUUCAUGUUUUUCUUUUUACCAGGAAAUGUGGUUUUUGUUUGACCUGAUGCUGGUUGUAGCCUUGAAAUUCCUUUAGUUAAAAGCGCUUGUUGUAGUUAAUAGUAUCAUUCCCAUAGUGAUUAAGACUGACACAGGCUGCUGUUUGGGGCACACUUUUGUCUGCAGAUGUUCCCAAGUUCCAAUGACAGUUCUGGUGCAGAUUCUUAAUGUGGCUUAGACUAGUGUCCCUUCUCAUCCUGAGAUCUACCUAUAAAACUGGGUUAAGGGGCUUCUGAGAAUUAUUUACACUUCAUUGAGGGUUUAGAAGCAGUAAGGAAGAACGAACGCAUUCAAUGAUAAUAUCCCUUUGUUCUGUGAUAUUCUAGUUUUUUGGAGCUAAGACAAACACAGCCAAGUUUAACUAGGAGAAACAUCCCUUACCUAUUUACCUAUAAUGCUUUUUGUACUUCUGUGCUAAACAAGUUCAUAUAGCUAGGCACACUCAGACAUCUAGCAGCCAGAAGGGAAAUAAUCCCUGCCUUUUAUAUGGAAAGAGACUCUUUGUCAUCCUUUCCAGAUAAAUCAUUCCUACUAAGUGGACAAUUUGUCUCUUUAGAACAAUGUAUUAUUUUUUUCUACUAUUACUUAACAUGAAAGACUAUUAGAGGCAAUAUUUGUCCUGUGAGAAAUAAUACCAUAAUGAGAACUUUUGAUAUAUUAAAGAUAUUUAAUCAUUUUUUUUUCACAAGAGUGAUCCAGAAUAAAUAAUAGUGGAGCACCUGGAUGGCUCAGUCAUUUAAACAUCUGACUCUUGAUUUCAGCUCAGGUCAUGAUUUCACUGUAGUGAGAUGGAGCCCCCGCAUGGGGCUUCCCACUCACAGCCUGUACCUGCUUAGAAUUCUCUCUCCCUGUCUCUCUCUGCUCCUCCUGUGCUUUCUCUCUCUCUCUCUCUCUCUCUCUCUCUCUCUUCAGUCAAUUCAAAUUAUUAUUUUCUGAUUUCUUUCACUGUCACUUUCUAACAAAUAGCUGCUGAGAUUCUUUACUCUAAAAUAAUUUCUAAAUGCUUUAACAUGACAAAAGAGAAUGAAAAAAGUAUAAGUAAAAUGUUUAUCGAUCUAAGUCCAUAUAAGGCAUUAAUUCUAUUUCUUUUUUAACAUGUUGCACACGUUAAAAACAUGUUGCACUGUUUUUACAGUGUCAGCACAGAAACUGAUUUAGGGAAGAAGUGAUGGACUUAAUUGUAAAGACCCCUAGGCAGUCAAACAUUUCUCCUCCUUACAUUUGGGCUUUCCUUGUGUUUUCUUUAAGAGUCUACUCUUUCUUUUUGGUGCUUUCUUAUAUUUGAAAGUUCUUCAACCACUUCUUUAUCAGCAAAUAUCUCUCUAUAGAUAUUUGUAGUCACCACUCCCAUGCCGCCAAAUACAUACACAGUCAUGUAGCCCAUAUUUUCAUUUCAUAAAAGUAAUUAUCACACGCAGAGUGUCCACUAUGUGCCAGAUGUUACAUAACAGCUUUAUGAAACUGAGUUCUUUCAACCAAGUUGCUAGGUUGGUAUUAUGAACAAACAUGCCAAACACAAUCCACACUCAGGGACUUUACCUCAGUUAUCAUGCUGCCUUUUAUCCCUCAUUAUAUUUUCAUGGCUUGCUCUUUCACUUCAUUUCGGUCAGAAUCCUUCUGACCACACUGUUUAAAUUAAUUCCUUUCCCCACUUCCCAACACUCUCUAUAUUUUUACCCAGUUAUACAUCCUACAUUCUAAAACAUCACUCUCUGACACUAUAUAUAUACAUAAUAUAUAAUAAGCACUGUAUAUGUAUAUGUACCUAUACACACACACACACACACACACACAUAUAUAUAUAUAUAUUUUAAAGUUUAUUUUUAUUUUUGAGACAGAGAGAGACAGAGCAUGAAUGGGGGAGGGGCAGAGAGAGAGGGAGACACAGAAUCGGAAACAGGCUCCAGGCUCUGAGCCAUCAGCCCAGAGCCUGACACGGGGCUCGAACUCACGGACCGCGAGAUCGUGACCUGAGCUGAAGUCGGAUGCUUAACUGACUGAGUCACCCAGGCGCCCCAAUACACAUAUAUAUUUAUCCACUCUCCUGCUCCAAUAAUAUAAGCUUUAUAAUGGCAGGUGUUUAAACUGUUUUGGUCUCCACUAUUUUUUACAGCAUCAGACCAGGAUCUGGUACAUAGUAAAUUUCAAUAAGUUUUGUUGAGUGAUCAAAAAAAUGACCAGUCCCCUAAAUAUAGCUCAAAGAAGUUAUCCCAGGUUACAGAAAAAUUACUGUUGUUUAUUAAUGUGCUUUUCUCCAUAAAGAAAUAAAUGGAUUUAAAUUGGGCCUUCUGUGUAUAAAAAUCUGUUACUUCACAAUGUUGGAUGUGAUAGUCCAUUAAUUUUCAUCACAAAGUAAUUGUAUAAACAAAAAUAAUAAUGAUCAUAGGAAGAAAAAUAGCGAAGAUAUUUGAGCAGUUUUUUGGGACCAGGCAUUAGAUUAAAUGAUCUCUCUCUCUGUCUCUGUCUCUCAUUCUUUGUGUCUCUUUAUUCCUCUCUUAAUAUUUCUUCCAAUUGAAUGUACUCAGAAUUCCUAUGUAUACUGUUACAUAGAGGAAAAAACUAAGGACAAAAGUGAAGUUUCUCAAAGUCUAUAACUACAAACUGGUAACAGUGAUUAAAAGAUAACAACCUGACCCAAGAGUCUGAGCUAUGACACUAAUACAAGGCAAUGACUCAUUUUGUCCAGUUUUGAAGUGGUUCCCUGUUUUAUAUAAGCAAAUCUAUUCUGUUUAUAUUUUGUAAAAGAAACUCUUCAAUUUUAUAGUUAUAUGAUGUGGUGAGAGAGAGAGGGAGAGAGAGAAUUUGAUAGAUUUUCUCUAAGUUAAACAACACUCAUCACAGGCCAAAUUAUUUCUUUAAAGAAUUAUUUAUUUAUUUUCAUUGAAGAAGAUAUAUAUUGGUCUUUUAGAUUAAAUGACCCAUAAAACCCAAGUAAUAGCUGCCCCUUAUUAAAAUCAAGUCUAGUAAUUCAACUCCCUUGAAUUGGGGCUAAAAUUAAUUGUGCUUAUUUCAAAUUUCAGUUUUCCAGUAUAACAAUUUCUCAGAAAUUUUUCAAUUUCUCUGAAAUUAUUCUGAUUAAAAGGAAGUUUUGAAUUAUUUUAUUUUAUUUUACUUUAUUUUACUAUUUUAUUUUAUUAUUUUAUUUCACUUUUACUUUACUAUUUUAUUUUAUUUUAUUUUAUUUUAUUUUUCUCCUCAUAGGAAGCAGGCAACUUGCUAGCAGUUCAGAAACCUGGGGUGGGGGAGUCCUCAUUUGGUGUCUAAAAUUUUCCUACCUUUUUUUAAAUGGAAUGUUCCCACUUUUUUUUUUUUUUCAACGUUUAUUUAUUUUUGGGACAGAGAGAGACAGAGCAUGAACGGGGGAGGGACAGAGAGAGGGAGACACAGAAUCGGAAAGAGGCUCCAGGCUCUGAGCCAUCAGCCCAGAGCCUGACGCGGGGCUCGAACUCACGGACCGCGAGAUCGUGACCUGGCUGAAGUCGGACGCUUAACCGACUGCGCCACCCAGGCGCCCCUGUUCCCACUUUUAAGGAACAAAGAGAUUAGGGGUUUGAGAUUCUGAGAUUCUGACUUCUUCUAUAGACUCCAAAUUUGUUUUAGGUUCUUUCCAGAAUCAAUGUUACAUUCCAGUGAGUUCUUAGGGCCCAUGCAAUUAGAAUCUACGCUAUUCAUAUUGCAGUAGACCAUAUCUAAGUCUCUCUUUUCCAUUCUACACAUAAAGGAGGUAGGUGUCAAUGCGGGUGAGUGAUUUGUCCAUGGUCACACAUCUAGCUAAUGUUAAUGUAUUUGAUUUUAAUUUUCCAUCUAUAUGGCAAAGGAUCCAAUUACUCUGGAUAUCUCUGGAUAGAUGUAUUUCCCACAAAGAAUUUCAGCAAAGCUCUUAUUGUCUGUUGCAAACCUGUCUAUAUACUGAUGCAUUUUCUAUAGGCAAGCAUAAAAUACCUUAAUGAUGUAUAUGGUUCCUUUACAUUAUGACAGAUGUUCUAUGAUGACUCAAACUAUAGAAAUGUCAUUCUUUUGGGAAGGGCUGAUUAUGAACAGUGUGAUUUCUUCCUAAUAUCUUGUAUUAUUAUUCUGUUAUAGGGUGAAUGUAAGAGAAAGUUUAUUUUUGGAUAUUGUUUUGCACAUAGAUUAACAUUUAAAGCUGUUUUUAUAAUUAAUAUAUUUAGAAUGUACCUUCUCUUUUAGGAAUUUUAGUUUUCCUCAAUAUGAGCUUAUCAUUUUGUUAUCAUAGAGAAGAAGGUAAUAGCUUUCUUGGUAAAUAAAUAUUUACAGGAGGGCUUAAGAGAACAAAACCAUUAUACCUGAAAAAUAACUUAGAGGUUAUUGAAGUAUAUUUGUAUACUUUAUUUGUAUUUGCAUACUUUAUACCUUUAUUGAAGUAUAUUUGUACUAUUUUCUCUACUUGCAUGAAAAACACAUUUAAAAUACUGGAGAAAUUGGACUUUUAUUCUAAACUUAAUUGUUUAACUAUUAUUUCAUUGAUAAAAUUUACAAUAUAAACCAAUGGUUCUUAUGGCUUCUUUGGUUUCAUGGUAUUAAUUUCUUUUGUAUUAAGUUCAAAUGAGUUUUACUUGCUAACCUAUCAAGUUGGUUAAGAAAAUAUACAGUUUUAGUAUCUAUAAUGUGUAAUACACAGAAAAAGAAAAUUAGAAAAGAUGAUUCUUUCUGUACAAAGGUUUAUGUUAUGAGGAAAAUAAACACAUACAAAGAGGAGGCCUAAGUCAAUAUGGUCAACUGAGAUGAGAUAUGUUCACCCUCACACAAUCAUAAUCUUAAACUUCAGCUGGUUAUAGGUGCUAUUUGUAAACAAAUACUACUUUCAUGGGAUUGCCACCCUGUUUUAAAACAAAAGGGGGUGGGGGUGCCUGGAUGGCUCAGUCAGUUAAGCAUCCGACUUCAGCUCAGGUCAUGAUCUCACAUUCCAUGAGUUCCAGCCCAGCUUCAGGCUCUGUGUUGACAGAUCAGAGCUUGGAGCCUGCUUUGGAUUCUGUGUCUCCCUCUCUCUCUGCCCCUCCCCUGCUCAUGCUCUGUCUCUCUCACUCUUAAAAAUCAAUACACAUAAUUUUUUUUUUUAAAUGAAGGAAGAAAGGAAGGAGGAAUGAAAGAAAGAAAGAAGGAAAGAAGGAAGGGAGAUAAAAGAAAGAAGAAAGAAGAAAAAGGAAAGGAAAGAAAAAAGGAAAGGGAAAGCAAAGGAAAGAGAAAAGGAAAGAAAAAGAAGAAAGAAAAAGGAAAAAGUCUGGCCUUAGUGAGACUCCAGCAGAAUCAAACAUAGAACUAUCCCUACAAAGUGCCUAUAUAACCCAAGGUCUGUAGUUCUCCAAUUAAAUCAAUAACCACUGAGGAUGAGUUCAUUAUUAAAACAUACAAAACAAUAGAUGAGAAAAUCACCAUGACAAAAAGAGUUGAUAGACAACAAAAUAGGGAAGAGACUUUAGAAAAUGGCCCAUUAAAAUAAAAAAAAGAAUCAGUUAAACAAAAAUAAGGUGGUCAGAAAAAAAAAAAAAACAAGCAAAUUUGAAGAAAAAAUCAAACUGAAACUCUAGAAAUGAAAAACACAGUCAUAAAAAAAAUGGACGGGUAAAAUAGUGAACUACUUUACAGACUUAGAACUCAUAAGAUUUCCUCAGGAAAAUUACCAGAAUAUAACAUAGAAAGAUAAGGGCUCUGUUAAGACAAGCUCCAAGUUGCAUUAACAAUUUUUUUCAUGUUUAUUUAUUCUGAGAGAGAGAGACACACACAGAGUGUGAUCAGGGGAAGGGCAGAGGGAGAGGGAGAGAGAGAAUCCCAACCUGGCUCUGUGUGGUCAGCAUGGAGACUGUUGCCAGGCAGGAUCCCAGGAUCCAUGAGAUCAUGACCUGAGCUGAAAUCAAAAGGCACUAAACCAACUGAACCACCCAGGCACCCCUCUCCACCCAACGUGCAUUAUUAUAGGAGUUCCAGAAAGAGAGAAUGAAUGGAGAAGAUGCACAAUUGAAAAACACAAUGGCCUAAAUCAUUUUAUAAUAGAGAAAAUAAAUGGACUCUCAGAUUGAAAAAUCACCUCUAAUCCUAAUCGGGGGGGGGGGGACCCAAACACAUGUCCGAAUAUAUAGUAGUAAAUUUUCAGAAUAUCAAAGUGAAAUAUAAUUUUUUUAAUAAUAAGGAGGAAACACAGAGUCCAAAAAAAUGGAAAGUCCCUGACUGGCUGCAGGCUUAUCAUGAACAACAGAGGCCAGAAGUGUCUAAAGAUAUAGAGUCAAGCCAAAUUCUAUAAUAAAAGAAGUCUUUACUGAAAGAGUGAAUUUUCAUACUUAUAAAAACUAAUAGAAUGUAUUACUCUCAGAUCUUCUCUGAAUACACCACUAAAGGGUGUCUAUCAGCAAGAAGAAAAUAAAAGUUAAAAAGAAAGAUUGGUACAUGAAAGCAAGAGUAAAUAAGUAACAUAUUUUGCAAAUCUAAUUUUAACUAUGAUUUUUAGUACUAGUAUAAUGAUUAUAAUAUUUUAGAACAAAAUAAGUAGCUCUAAAUUAAUAAUCAAUGAUGCCCUGGAGAAUACAAGAAUAUUUGCAAUAUUGUCUCUGUUCAGGAGAAGAACAGAAAUAUUAGCUAAUUUUCAAUAUUACUCCGUUAAGUAUACAUGCUAAGAUCUUUAUAUUUAAUCAAAUAAAUAAAAUAGAAGGCACGUAAGUUUGAAACCAAUGAAGGACACACACACACACACACACACACACACACACACAGAAAAGAAAUAGAUUUAAUCAAAUAAAAGGUAAGAACUCUGAAAAUUAAUGCAAAUGAAAAUUUUGGUAAGUAGAAGCUACAAAAUAAAAUUAAAUAAAAGUCUAUCCUAAAUAGCAAUUGAUAUAAAUGGAUUAAUAUAAUUCCUUGUAUUAGAACUUACAUUGAUAAAAGGGAUAUUAUAUAUUCUAUAAAUCCCUGUAUCUUAUAGAAGGACAGAAUUUGCCUGGGUCAUAUUUGAGAUGUGUAUGUGAAAUAGAUACUCUAGUCAGUGUAAAAUAAUUUUGGAGUAUCCUAUAUUGGCAAAAUGCAAAACAUAUAUAUUGUAUUGUGAGACAGGUAAUAAGUACAUCAGUGUAUUUGGAGCAAAACUGUAUGUGAUGGAGAUAUAAACAGGAUUUCCUUUCUGCAAGAAUUUGCAUUAGAAGACUAUAAUCAGUGGUGGCAAUAAGCUGGAACCUGUAGCAAAGUUGACCUAAGUUUGUAUACUGAAUAAAUGUGGAAACUUGUAUAAUUUCUAAAAUGAUCUAAUCUAUAUAUAGUCCAUUCAUAUGGAAAAUGAGGAACUUACAUAUAUUUCACAGACAUAUUUUGAGUAUUAAGUUAACUAAUUUUUGUUCAGAGCUUAGUUUACUUUCUGGCAAUUGUUAGGUCAUAAAAAAUGUUAACACUCAUUAUUUUUAUAAUGUAGUUUCUUCUAUAACGUAGUGUUGAAACUCUCCAUGCAUUUUCCCAUGGAGAGGAUGGGAAUGGUGUUUUCUGAUGGUAGAUGGAAAGGCUGGAUGAGAAUGAGAUCGAUAGAUUUGUGUGUUAGGAAGUAUCGAACUAGUUAAUUUGGUAAUUUGUCUGCAUUGGAUUGAAUCACUAGACUGAGUGCUCCACAAAGCAACCUUGUUCACUCUUGUGUCCUCAAUUCACUAUAAUGCCAUCAUGUAGUAAAGGAUUAAUGAAUAUUUUUUAUUACUAAGAAGUACAUAAAAGAAGUCAAAAGAGAGUAUACCCUCUAAGAUGCAAUAGCUGCCCUCAAUAUUUGUUUAAUAUUGAAAAUACAGCAUUUUGAUAGUUAAUAAAUCCAUCUAAAUGUUACUCCAAAGAAUUCACCUGUGAUAAGCACUAAAUACAUUCAUUCAGGUAUUGGAAAACCACAAAUUGUUUCUAAGAUUGCUAUAUAAAAUGGAAAAUCUUAUAUAAUGUUAAUAUAUAACUAUUCAGUCUCCCAGACCUCUUAUUUUGGAGGCAGUGGAAAUAAAUAUGUGCUGUUAGAGCAGUGCUCUUUAACACAAACCUCUGGGUUUCUAGGAAGUGUGUGGCCAUGGAUAUUGUAAAGGGAACAACUGUCUAGAUCUUCAACUUUUAUCUGUGCUUUUUCCUGAAAUUAAUCUACUCCUGGUCCUCAGUUUCCUUCCCAAAUUCUCCUUUCACAAUAACUCAUUUCCCAUUUUAUUAUAAAAAGGAUAUCUUUCAUCUAUCAGUGAGACAUUGCCACAGAGGGGGAAAAAAGAAACUAAAAAAUCUCUAAAGAAGCAAACAUAGAGACAAAUGCAAAAGCUUGAGCCAUUGAGGAGAGCCUUGUGAUAACAAUGUGUCUGUAAGUAUAUUAAAGUAAGUACAUCAUGAUGAUCUAUGGCCAAAAUUUUGGUAUUGUUAUGAACGUGUGCAUUAUGUAUGUAUGUAUGCAUGGAUGCAUCUACCUUUAUCAUCUAUAAUUUUCUAGCUAUCUUGAUAUUCAGAAAUGAGAGAGUGUAAUAAAUAAGUAUAUUAAUAUAUUUACUUGAAUUGAUUAAGAAAGUAACUUUUAAUUUUUUUUUAAAUGUUUACUUAUUUUUGAGAGAGAGAAAGAGACAGACCGGGAGUGGAAGAGGGGCAGAGAGAGAGGGAGACACAGAAUCCAAAGCAGGCUCCAGGCUCUGAGCUGUCAGCACAAAGCCCAACAUGGGGCUUGAACCCAUAAACUGUGAGAUCAUGACCUGAGCCAAAGUUGGACACUCAGUUGACUGAGCCACCCAAGUGCCCCAAUGGAAGAGUGACUUUUCUGACAGAAAUUGUCUGACUUGGCUGAUUAUUUUAAUGACAAGGCUUGCUUUAUCAUUAAGUCAAACUGUGCAUGUUUUCAGAUACUGGAUGACCUAGACUGGUAGCUCAAAAUACUUUCACAAGGGGAUCCUGAGUGGCUCAGUAGGUUAGGCAUCUGACUUUGGCUCAGAGUAUGAUCUUGCAGUCCAUGAGUUCGAGCCCUGUGUCAGGCCUUGUGUUGACAGCUCAGAGCCUAGAGCCUGCUUUGGAUUCUGUGUCUCCCUCUCUCUCUGCCUCUCCCCCUGCUCUCUCUCUCUUUCUUUCUCAAAAAUAAACAUUAAGAAAUUAAAAAAAUAUUUUCACAAAAUAUACAUAAACUAUAUUUGUAGUAACAGUAUACUAAAAGCCAGAAAUACAUCCUUUGUACAUAUGAAGCGAAUACAUUUUAAAUGUAGCGCUCAGAGUUUGGUCAGGAAAACAGAAACCACUCCAUAUAUUUUAAGCAGGAAUGAAAUUAAAGAGCAAAUUAGGUGCUUACAAACCAUUAAAAGGGAUGGAUGAUGUAAAGGUCAGGAACACCUUCACCAGGUUUCAGAUUCACUCAUAGCUUUCAGAGAGUUAAGAAAUUGCAAGAAUCAUAGGAAAUUACAGCAGUGAUUAUAGUUUUCUACAGUAUUAAGGAUGCUGGUUUGCUGGGAAAUAUCUUGGGCUUACUGAAAAACCUGUGGCUACUGCAGCCCAAAUCUCUGCAUUAGAAACAGUAAUAUGAACUCUGCCCUCUUAGGCUCUCUCAGUCUUGUGCAAAUGGAUCUCACUGGCAGAAGGCUGGUUCCUCAGGAUUCUGCUGCCAAGUACUUUAAAACAAAAUGUAAUUCCAAAGCUUCCAGCCUCUCCAAUGGAGCAGAGAGAAUAAGAGGGGGCAGAGGCAGAAAUGGUGCUCAUUUGCUAACAGGCAAUGUGGCACAACUGUUAAAUUUUGAAAUGUGAGUCAUGUACUUCUUUUCCAAAAACCCUUUAAAGAUUAAACAAACAAGAACAUUGAAGGCUAGUAUUCUAGAGUGUCUUAAUCAGCCUGGGCUGUGAUAACGAAUACGAUAGACUGGGUGGCUUAAACAACAGACAUUUAUUUCUCUCCAGUUUUGGAGGCUGGGAAGUCCAAGGUCAAGGUGCAGGCAGAUUUCAAUUCCUACUGAGAACCCUCCUCCUGGCUUGUAGCUGGCCACCUUCUCACUGUGUGCUCACAUAGAGGAGCAACAGAGAACAGUCUGGUCUUUCUUAUAAGGGCACUAAGCCCAUCAUGAGGGUCUUACUCUCAAGGCCUCCUCUAAACCCAGUUACCUCCCAAAGACUCCACCUUCAAAUACUAUCACAUUGGGAGGUAGGGCUUCAACAUGUGGAUUUUGGAGGGUCACAAAAGUUCAGUCCAUAACAUAAGAGUAUUCUCUACUUUUUUUUUUUGUAAUGUUUAUUUAUUUUUGAGGUGGGGAGGUGGGGAGGGGCAGAGAGAGAGGGAGACACAGAAUCUGAAGCAGGCCCCAGGCUCUGAGCUGCCAGUACAGAGCCUGACAAGGGGCUCAGACUCAUGGCUGUGAGAUAAUGACCUGAGCCAAAGCCGCACACUUAACCAACUGAGCCACCCAGGCACCCCAGAGUAUUCUCUACUUUCAUUAUCUACCACACUUCUGGUUUCUGCUAUGUCCUCCCAAACAUUAUUUCAAGUUGGCCAUUUCCCUUAUAUUUUAAUAUCUGGCUCCCUGACAUGACCUCCUGCUAAGUCCUUUAGUAUCUAAAAUGUUGUCUCGAAUUCACACCUACCAAAAUUAUGUGCAUGACCCUGAGCAUUUUGAGUUGCUAUUGCAUGUCAAGGCACAGUUUCUUAUUGUUUAUGUCCAGGGAUUUCUGCAUGGAGUUACCAAUACAUGAUAUCAUACUUUCUGAUGUAUAUAUAUAAUUUUAAUUUGAAUGUUAUUUUUUAAAGUAACAUGUUAAGGGGCGCCUGGGUGGCGCAGUCGGUUGAGCGUCCGACUUCAGCCAGGUCACGAUCUCGCGGUCCGUGAGCUCGAGCCCCGCGUUGGGCUCUGGGCUGAUGGCUCAGAGCCUGGAGCCUGUUUCCGAUUCUGUGUCUCCCUCUCUCUCUGCCCCUCCCCCGUUCAUGCUCUGUCUCUCUCUGUCCCAAAAAUAAAUAAACGUUGAAAAAAAAAAAUUAAAAAAAAAAAUAAAAAAAUAAAGUAACAUGUUAAAAUAGACUUUUCUGGUGUAUAGUCUAAGAUUUUUUUUAUGAGGUGAAAUAUACAUAAAAUUAGCCACUUUAAGUGUGUAAUUCAGUGGCAUUUAGCACAGUCAGAAUAGUGUGCAACCAUUUCUUGUACUUUCAGAUCAUUUUAUCAUCCCAAAAGGAAGCCCCAUACCCAUUAAGCAGUCGCUUCCAUUCUUCUCUUUCCCAGCCCCUGGGAACCGCUAGUCUAUCUGCUUUCUGUCUGUAUGGAUUUAACUCUUCUAAAUAUUUCAUUACAUGGAAUUAUGGAAUAUAUGGCAUUUUAUGUCUGGCUUCUUUCACUUAACAUAAUUUUUUCAGGUUUCAUCCAUAUUGUAGUAUGUAUCAAUACAUCAUUUUUUCUUUAUGGCUGAAUAUUUCAUAUGUGGCUACACCACAUUUUGUUAAUUUAUUCUGUUGAUGGACAACUGGGUUGUUUCAAACUCUGGUUAUGGGAAUAGUGCUGCUAUGAACAUUCGUGUAUCAGAUAUUGUGUUCAUGUUGAGAGAACUGUCUGCUGUUUCUGAACUCCUUAUAAUUCUACACUGGAUGCAGAAGCUGAGAGGGCCCUAUCUUAUAGAUUUUAAAAAUAAAAUUUUUAUAGAUGAGAAUAAAGCUACAAACCAGAGUCAAACCUGAUAGAUAAUAUUAGCUAUAGCUUUAUAUCUGAUUACCUUGGAAUUAUGAAGAAGGUGUUAUUUAAGAAUACCAUUUUGUACAAAAACUUUUAGUAAGUUCAUAAAUAAGGCCAACAGUGAAAAAAAUAACACUAAUUGAAUGCUUAACAUAUACAAAGUACAGCACUAGAUCCUUUGAGUUACUUAUUCUUCACAAUAAGCUAUUAUUAUCCGAGGUCACUGAGGUAGAGGAAAUUUAAAUAAAAUUUAAAUAACCUACUCAAAUGUCACAGCUAGUGAAUGAUGAAUUCUAAAUAUGAAUCCAGGGAAGAUGGUCCCAGAGACCAAUUUCUUAAACAUUGCACUUUUUUUUUUCUGUUUUUCCACUAAAAGUCUCCAUCUCUCCUCAUUUAAUCAUAUAUUAUAAAGCAGUGCUGAUUUGAUCUUAUUUGACUAUUAGCUCUUGACUUCUUACACGGAUUUCAGUCUCCUUAUCUCACAAACAUCAAACCCCAAAUUCUCUGCAGUGGCCUAAGAGUUCCUUUAUGAUCUGGCCCUUGACUGCGUCAUUCCCUCUUCCAUUCACAUAUUCUGCUCCUUAGCCUUUUGUGUUCUGUUUUCUCUGCCUAGAGAGAAUUUACUUAAUUUAAACCCUGUUCAACUGUCCCUUUCUCAUAAUGGCAUUUCAGGGGGAUGUUACUCAAAUCACCAAUCACUAAUCUAUCCUCUCACCUGCCUUAUAUUUCUUUUAUAGCAAUUAUCACUACCUGAUUUUAUAAAUUUGCAAUCGUAUGUGUCCCCUCUGCUCCCCCAUCCCCCCUAGUAAGCUUCUUCAAGGGAGGGAUGGUUAUUUGUUUGUUAUUUGUUUGUUUUCUUUUCUUUUUUUAACAUGAAAUUUAUUGUCAAAUUGGUUCCCAUACAACACCCAGUGCUUAUCCCAACACGUGCCCUCCUAAAUACCCCUCACCCACCCUCCCCUCCCUCCCACCCCCUAUCAAUCCUCAGUUUGUUCUCAGUUUUUAAGAGUCUCUUAUGUUUUGGCUCCCUCCCUCUCUAACCGUUUUUUGAUUGUUUGUUUUCUUUUGGCAGUGCAUUUCUAGUGUCUGUUAUCAUGCCUGACACAUGUAAGAUAUGCCCUAAAGAUCUGAUACUCUAUGUCCCUCCCUCUCUCUCUCUGUCUCCUCUCUCUCUCUCUCUCUCUCUCUCUCUCAAAAAGAAAUAAACAUUAAAAAAAAAAAGAUUCUACUGUGAAGCUGGGGUAGAAAGGCUUAUUCUUAAUUUUUUUACACUUUUGAAACUUUCUCUUUGAAAUUGCUUCAGAGGAGUUGUAACUUGCUACUCUGGUUCACUUAGAACUGGCUUUAAUUUUUUUUUUUAAUGUUUAUUAUUUUUGAGAGUAGGAGAGACAGAGCGUGAGUGGGGGAGGGGCAGAGAGAGAGGGAGACAGAAUCCUAAGCAGGCUCCAGACUCUGAGCUGUCAGCACAGAGCCCCACAAGGGGCUCAAACCCAUGAACGGCGAUCAUGACCUGAGCAGAAGUUGGAUGCCUAAAAGACUGAGCCACCCAGGUGCUGGAGCUGGCUUUAAGGGUAGUACAUGAUCUGCUUCAGGAAGCCAGGGUUUUGAAAUUGGUGCACAAAUGCACUGGUCAAGUACAUACAAUUGUUCUCCUCAUCAUUGGUGCUUCCGGUUUUAAUUAUAUGAGUCUUUCUUUUGUUGGCUUUUUGUUGUUUUUAUUUAUUUUAUUUUAUUUUAUUUUAUUUUAUCUUAUUUUAUUUUAUUUUAUUUUUCUUAUCCCUCUAUUCAUAUAUAUUCUGAUUUGUUUCUUUGUGAGAAGGAAGCACAGACGACUAGUUUCCUCUGCAUUACUUCUCUGUGUAACUUUUCUCCUUAUCCUUUAAGGUAAUCAUAGCAACUUGGUCCUUAAAGUAUAAUGAGGGUCCUACUAAGUUCAGCCUAUUUUGUUUAAAGGGAUCCAACAAAGAUUCUAUUCCCAUUUAUCUCAAAUAAUAGAAGGAAAGCCUAAUUUUAUUUUUACUUACUCAAAUAUUGUCUAUGAAAAUAUAUUUCCAAUGGUAGCAUUUCUCUCCCCCCAAAGUUCGCCUGUGUAUCUCUUGCACCAAAAUAACUACAGGUUCUUGUUGCUAAGCUUCAUCAUGGACUUAGUGAAUCACUAGCUCUGGAUAAUAGACCCAGAAAUUGAACAAACUUCCUUGUGUAUGUCUCUACUACACUAAACUUGGGAAUUAUUGAUCUAUGGACAUAUUACUAUAAGAUUUUAAACAUAUUUAUUUUUUGGUAUCUUACAAAUUUGCAACAUGAUUUGCCAAUAUUCCUUACUUCCAAUUGGAAUUAUUUUAAAAAAAUGCAUUUAGUCGAUAUUUGAAAUCUACAUGCCAAAAAUCUACAUACCAAAAUUUGUUGCUCUUAUAUGUACUUUUUUUUUAGUUUUGAACUCAAAAUACUCUAUUUUCUCAGUGGUAUAUUGGAUGGAACCUGCAUAGAUUUCAUAAUGUUUAACAUUUCUUCUCAAACUAUUGCUAUUUUCAUCUUCAUUAUGUGGGGAUAUAGAACAUAUUUAUGGUGCUUUAUUGUAUUGUUUGAGGCUACUAAACAUAUUUCCUGUGGAACUAUAAAUUGGUAGACAUCAAUCAUUAUUCAUUGUAAAAAAUUCAAUAUAUCAAUCAAGAAGAUGAUGUUCUUGUUUGGAUGGUAUAGACAAAUUCCAAGAAUAAUCUUCCCUCAUUUAUCAUCAUCUUGAGAAAAAUAUUACACACUCCUAUCUCUUACCCAAUCUAUAAUAUGUAGCAUGUAAAAUAUAUCUUCAAUUUAUUUAGAUGCCUAUAUAUGUCACAUGUUUUGAUAUAUUGAACUAAUAUCCUCUUUUUUAUUCAUAAACCUGUGGCUUGGGGAAUUUUUGUAUACAUUUGAUUGUUCUAUUGAAUAAAUUUCAUUCAGUCUCUUUUAAUAUGAGGUUAGCAUUGCUGGAACACUCUUUUUAACUUUCACUGUAUUAAUAUUAAAAUUAGCAAACAAUGGACAUAAAGUUGUAACAACAAAGGCCACUUUCUGAGAUUGUUUUGUUAAUACCAAACAUAUCUAGCAUUUUAAAUAAUAUUAGUGGUCACUGAGUUAUGCUUUACCAAAUAUGUUAGGCAUAAGACUAUUGAUGUAGCUUUAGACAACUAUAGCUUGCCAAUCCAAUUUACUUAGAACGAAUGUAGUCUUUUUCAGGCUCAGUUACUUGUAAGAGUAUUGGCUAUAUCCUGGCUUGGGAAUGUCAGAUAGAUAAAAGCAACAGAAAUAUUUGUCAACUACCUAUGAGCUAUCAUAGAAAGUAGUUUUUCUACCUGAAAAAAGCAAGCAAUUCUUUCUUUUUCUCUUAGUAGCUAUAAAAAUUAUGCACAAGCUGCCCCCAACUAUCGAGAUAUUAUUGUCCCCUCCUUUCAUAGAGGCAGAGAUGUUCACCAACUCCCUGGACUCCCAGGGAGAGAUUUAAGAGUUUCCUGAUGUUACAUCCCCAGCAUUCCUACUUUCUGAGUGGUAGAAAGCUUUUCUCUUCCAGCUGCAGAAAUAUUCUUCAAUUAAUUUGUCAUCACAUACUAUUAUUAAAUUACAUUAUAUUGCAUUAUAAUAUAUUUGUUAUAUGAUAUUAUUUAUAAAUUACUGUUGUGUCAUGCCAGAUUUUAAUAGAAGUUUGAUAUAUGAAAAAAAGCCCUGUGUUAAGAGUCCGCAGGUUCUGAUGCUAAUUCCAUUUCUCUGGGAAAAUGUUUUCACUUCUCUGAAUAGUUGCCCUGUCUUUCAAGACUUGUGUUUCAAAACAGAGUACUUAUUUUAUAGAACUAUACAAAAUAAAUAAUUAGAUAAUUUAUAAUGAUAUUAUGUUAUAUUUUACUAAUUAGACAUUUGAAAUAUACAUUUUAAGUUACUUUUGUAGCAUUGAAAUACCUUGAAUUAUCUCAAAUGCCAGCUAGAAUUGCAUUUGGUUAUCAGGGACAGAUCUACUUAUAUUUUACUAAUUAGACAUUUGAAUUGUAUAUUUUAAGUUACUUCUGUGGCAUUGAAACACCUUGAAUUAUCUUAAAUACCAGCUAGAAUUGCAUUCGGUUAUCAUGGACAGAUCUACUUAACACAGAUGUGGUUAGCAUUUCAAUCCUUAUAGAUUUAACUUAACAGUUCAGUGAUGUUUUAUGAACUGAGUUUCCUUAUAUAUCUAUGAUUCAAUCAACCUCAAGGAUCUGAAAAGUGCCUUUGAAAUUUAACAUAAAGCCUUUCAUACUGACCCUUGAGUAAGACACACAAUUUAAGAGCGUUAGUUCACAUGAAUAAAACCUAGUCCAUAAUGAAUAUCUCUAAGAUAAAUUUCCUGUCUCUUUUAUGCUAAUCAGCCCCCAAAGGGAAGAAAAAAUAGAUGUCCCCACAUCAUACCAAAAUAAACCAUAUUUAAGUUAGUAUUAUGGUAAAUACUUAAAAAUGAGUCUUCAGGCUGUAACAGUAUAAGCAACAUUUACUAUGUUAAUCACAAUCAUGUUUAAAAUUAUGUGAAAAAAAAAAACGAUUGCAAAGGCUUGUUCCCUAUUGUGGUACAUGAAAUAAAGUGGUUACUUCAUAACUUGAUUUUGAAAUUCAAAGAGAAGAAGGAAGAAAGGUUUAAUAUGUAGGGCUUUAAAAGGAGAUAGUGUGGUGUCAACACAAGCAGAAGUAUACAGGGAGAGCCCAGGGGAAUGCAAAACAAUAAGCUAAUUAGAGAGGAAUUUGUACUCUUGUCAUGAGGGUAGGGGGAGAGACAGAUGGAAAAAGCCCCAUCAGGUGAAACAACUCCAGAUAAAAACACAUGCACGGUAGCCUGCAUGUACCGUGUCUUGGACAGGCUUGUCUUGUUUUCCCCAGGAAAGCUAUUGUAGGGGAUUCAGCAUAGUCAGGCCACUCUACAGGAAAAACAAAAAGAUACAAAAUAUGUACUAUCACCUUGUUGAAGAUGGUUAAUUUAGACAAUUAGGAAUUACUUGUUUCAUCUUGCUACUAAUUUUUCUACAUAACUGUUAGAUAUAAAGAAAGUCUUCAAAUUAACAAAGUUACUAUGAAAUUGUUACCUAAUAAGAUCUACUUUUAACAGAGGAACAAUAUAUGGAACUAAUAAUUUUUCAUUCUACUUGUAGAAAACUAAGUUUUCUGUAUUAUAUUACAAAUAACUUAUAAGGGCUUAUGCAGAUUUAAAGUCAAAACUAAAUAUAAGGGGUAAUGAGGGUCUUUAUUAAAAAAUAGUGAGAAGAGUGCUAAAUAUUCAUGUUUCACCUUUUAAUUAUUAUUUAUAGUUUUAAUCUACCCCAUAGGUCGGCAAACUUUUUCUGUAAAGGGCAAAAUAGUAAAUAUUUUAGGCUUUGAGGGACAUUUGGUCUUUGUUACAACUACUAAACUUUGUCACUGAAGCAUAAGAAGAGUCAUAAACAGAAUGGUCAAUGAUUGAGCAUGGCUGUGUUCCAAUAAAACUUUAUUUACAAAAACAGAUGGAGGGCUGGAUUUGGUUGUGAGCUGUCAUUUACUACUACCAAAUAUAUAGAGAAUUUGAAUUAAUAAUAUGAAAGACAGCUGCAUUUCUUUCUGCAAAUUUUACAUUUAUAAAAGAAUUCUCUGAGCCUUAAAGUUAUUCUCUGUUAGACUACUUUCUCUGCUAGAUUAUGAAUUCUUUUACAGUAAGGACCUUGUAAUAUUCAAGGUGUGUGUAUUUUAUAUAUAUAUAUAUAUAAUAUAUAUAUAUAUCUGUAUAUAUAUAUGUAUUAUAUAUAUAUAUCUGUAUAUAUAUGUAUUAUAUAUAUAUAUCUGUGUAUAUAUAUAUAUAUAUAUAUAUAUAUAUAUAUAUACACACACAUAUAUAUAAUGACUUGGAUGAGAGUCUUUAUUUCAUUGAAAAACAUUUUCCAUUUUAGAAGUUUCUAAAAGUUUCUCUUUUCAGAUAGUAUCUCAAGGCUCAAAGAUUUUUAACAAUUUGAAUAAUGAGCAUGAGACACAUAACUGAAGAAGUUAUAGUCUUUUUCCAUCAUUUUAAAUAAAUACUUUUAUCAACUUCUCUACAAGGUGUAUUGAUUAAGCUUUAUCUAGACCAAACUUUUAAUUUAUAAUUUUUACCAGAGGUGGAGCGAUGUUAUCUCCUGUAGACAGACUCAAGACUUCUAGCUUCAGCCAUGCAACACACAAUCUUUAGGCUCCACAAAUGGUUUUGUCGCUGGUCCAGUCCUCUGUAUUAUUUCCCAAAUAAUGCCUUAGGAAGUGAAGUUAUCUCUAUGGGCUUUCAUUCUUAUUAAAUUUUCUAUUUAAUUUUUUUUUUCUGGUGAACUGCUGUCCUCAACCUGAACCACUAUACCUUCUUUUUAUGAUUUAUUCUCCAUAGUAUGGAAGUCUUCACCUGUAUUUUACUAUCCUUUUAUGGGGUGUCCAGUUUCUGAAACUUGAGUUGUCCUAUGAAGAUGCGUUAAUCCUGGGUAACAUGCAUCUAUUGGGAUUGUUGUGAUUUUACCUAAAAUUCCUUUUACUAACUUAUUUGUUCCUGUAUCAUCUGAAGAUUGUUUUUUAUUGGUCAUAUCUUCUCCCAUGUCAAGCACUAGAACUGGUUCAGCUGUGGAGUAUUUGUUUGACUCCAUUGGACCAUUCCAGUGAUAAGUGCUGAACUCUUGUUGAAAUAUUUAUUCAAAGCGUAACAACUUUGGCAUUACAAAAAACAGAAUUUUAUAUUAACUUAAUUUCCUACAACUUUAUGGUACACUUUUCCCCCUAGCCAUGGAAAAUUUGAAUCACUUGACAUAUUUAGAAUUAAUAAACCAGAUUUUUCUUUAAAUGUUUUUUUAAACCAGCUCUGAUUAUAUUUUCUACCAGUUAAUACCAACAUGUCGCCACUUACAUAUGGUUUUAAAAUACAUUAAAACUAAAGAUGAAAGGACAAAUACACUAUUUAUGAUAUAGAAACUAAUAGCAAUAAUAUUCAUCCUCAUUUCUUAUUUCUCUGCUAAAAUAAAGUUUCUGUUGUUGCUACAAAUCUAAAACAGCUCACAUUUCCUCUGCUGUUUCAAAUUACAUAGAUUUUAUUCAUAUAUACAUUCAUUUAAUGGGGAUACUUUAGGCUUAAUUGAGAUCAAGUAAAACAGACUCAGUAUGCUGAAACAAGUUGAAUUAAAGUAUAAGAAAUGUAGGGGCACCUGUGUGGCUCAGUUGGUUAAACUUCCAACUCUUGAUUUCAGCUCAGGUCACAAACUCACAUUUCGUGAGUUCAAGCUCUGCAUCAGGCUCUGCACUGGCAGUGAGAAGCCUGAUUGGAAUUCUCUUUCUCUCUCUCUCUCUGCCUCUCCCCAGCUUUCUCUCUCUCUUUCUGUCAAAAUAAAAGAAUAAACAUUAAAUUUUUUUUUUCAGUGUAAGAAGUGUAGUUCAAAUGGAAUCCACAAUAGACAAGUCAAGUUAUCAGGACUAGGUUACUAGGAUGAAUUAGCAGCGAAAUCAUCUUGGUAUUGGAACCAUGAUUUAUGGGACAAGAGCCAAUUAAAUAUAUCUUACCUUUAGUUGCAAUUAGUUCUGGGUAAUGUAGAGGUUUUGAGUCUGCUGUUUGAUAGAUUUAGAAUACAGUCCAAUUUGAACAUAUUCUGCAUAUAUCGAACUUGGGAAGUGUGGGUUUUUUUAACCUUAUCCAUGCCUUAGUGUCUAUAUACGCAAAAGGGAAAAAUAACAGAACAUACAUUUCAGUCUCUGAAACUUUACUAAACUCACUAUUUCCCUAUUAAGAUUUCUGUUGCUGGACUACAUGUAGGUGUUGGAAUUUUGCGAAUUGACUUGAAAUCACUUAUUGAUAACUUGAGACUAAGAUUCCAUGAGAUGAUGAAUGUAUAGCCCUUACCAAAGUACCUAGAUCAUUGUAAGUGUUAAAGAGUUUUAAUUCCAAAUAUUAUUCUUACCAACCAAUGUUUCUGUAGGGAGGUCUGGUGAGUAACUAGAAAGAUCUAUUUUGUAAUGAAUAGUUGAAUGCUUCUUGCAAAAAUCCUCUUACAGUUUUCUGCUUUCAAAAGUAUCUUGGAUGAAAAUGUGCUAAGAUAAUUAUUUAUUUAAUAAAAUACUUAUAUAUUCAAUACAGUUUUCCAAGGUAUGAAUGUAUGCCCAGGUUCUGGGGGGAAAUGGAUUGGUUUAGCCAUCUGUAGAGGAAUCGACUGUAAUAAAUAGGUUAGUAAUAGAAUUGGGGCAUCUUCCAAGUGAUCAUUAAGAACCUCAAGGUCUGACUCAAGUCAUUACCAAGGAAGUACACUUUGUAAGGAUCUUAUUUUAAUCAUGUAUUUUUAAAUUUAUUUUAAUAGGUACAAAAGAACAUAUAGCAGAAAGUUCAUGCUUCACUCAUUAAAUUGAAAAAAAGAAGGAGGAGGAAGAAAAGCAGAAGGUAAAGAAAAAAGAAAAGGACAAGGAGGACAAUGAGGGAUAAGAAGAGGAAGAAGAUAAACCACAUUACUACCAGUAAGAACAAGAAGGGAAAAGACCCUUGUCAGUGGGAUUUCAGCAGAGUUUAAGAGUCUCUUCUGAAUAAUCAUAAGUACUCGUUCUUUCUGACAAAAUCCCCAUGAUUUUUUUGAACAAACUCUAACGCUGUGUUAAUGGUUAAAAUAACCUUCUGAUAUUGAUUUGGUUUCUCAAAAGGAUUUUCCUACAUAGAAAACAUAGUAUAAAUUAGGUACAAAAUAAUGUGAUCUGUUGUGAUGAUCUUUUGAUGUGUCAACUUGGCUAGGCUACAGUCCCCAGUUAUUGAAUUAAAAACUAAUCUAUGAUAUUGUUGUGAAGGUGUUUUGUAUACAAAAUUAAAGUCUGUAACCAGUGUACUUUAAAUAGGGAUAUAUCCAAAUAAUCUGGGUGAGCCUGAUUCAAUUAGCUGAAAGCCUUUAAAAGCAGAGCUGAGGCUUCUCCGAUGAAGAAGAAAUUCAGCAGGCUGGUAGCAGCUUCAGUUGCCUGACAGUUUCAGUCUGCUCUUCUUGCUGGCCUGGCCUAUAGAGAUUGGGAUUGCCUGGACAGUCCUCACAAUUGUGCAAGCUAAUUCCUUGCACUAAUUCUCUCAGUCUGCAUCUCUGUUUCUCUGGUUGAACCCCAAUACACCUGUGUAGCAUAUCUAUCGUUAUCUUAUUAAAUCAGCUGUGUGGGUUAGAUUUCAAUUAGUUUGGAAAUGUAUUCCAGAGAAACAAUUUAAACCCAUGUACUUCAGAGCCACCGUAGAAACAGUGGCUCAAACUUAACAUUUAUUUUCAUGCCCUUUAUGUACUUCUGUCUUUCUCAUCUGUCUAAUCAGCUUAAUCUAACAGGGUGAAAGCAGGUUGCAACUCAAAUAUGUCCAAAUACAUAUGACUUGCACUUAGUACGUAUUUCAAGUUCACUUCAUGUAGUAAGUCAUCUUAAAAAACACGCUUUGGUAAUAAGAUAUGUAUUAUAUAUACAUAUAUAUAUAUAUGAUAUUUAUAUAUAUACAUAUAUUCUAUGUAUGUGUGCAGAUGGUUAACUCUACUUUUCUCCGUAUGUUAUCCUAUUUCCUUGUUUCUCUUUAGAGCAAAAGACCUUGCAAUAGAAGUCUCUAUUUCUACAAUUCUCUUUCUUUUUUUUAUGUUUUAUUUUUUGGAUAACUUUCACAAGAUUUUUAUGAUAAUAUUUUUCCAAAAUCACUGUAAUUAAGAACAUAAGUAGCCUCCACUUUGAUAAAUACAACAGUUAAUUCUCAGUCCUUAUUUUACUUCAAUAAUUAAUGAAAAGUAAAAAGUUGAUGGCAAAUGGCCACCAAGUAUUUGAAUAAAUAUUUUGACUCACAACAUUUUUAAAAAAGCAAUUACAAACACAAUAAACGUUUUUUUCUACUUCUUAUAUGAGCAAACCUUUUUAUUAUUUCAAUGGUAGUUCCCAUUUUUCACAGGGGUACAUAAUGGGUGUGCAGUAACUAUCACUGCCUGACAUGAUAAAUGGAUGAGUGAGUGAAUUUUAUAGCAAUGUAUCCUACAGAUAGCCAUUUAAAUUUUAGAGCCCUUUCUAAAAGUAAUUAAAAUGAAGAAAUGAGGACACUUAAAAUGUUUAGAAUUUUUAAUCUGAACUUAAUAAAGUUCAUUGAAACAUUUUAAAAAGCAAAAAGAAAGUAAUUAAAUAAAAUUUCUAAUAUACUCAGUGAAGGGUGACAUUAGGUCGAAAAUAUACCAGUGAACAACAGCAGUUGUCAGGUAGGAAUAAACUUCCAAUGGUUCAGCAACUAAAGGAAGUCUAGAGUGGCUGGGAAACAGCAUUCAAUGGGAAGAGUGUGAUAAAGUGAGACUGAUCAUGCAGGGUUUAUAAUCCAUUUUUAGGCACUGAAAUUUACCUGAAAAGCAAUGAGAAGCCAUUGAAGAAUUCUUAAGUUGAGGAUUAAGAAAUAAAAUUUUGAUUUUGCAAGCAUCAUUCUGGUUCCUGUGAAGACAAUAGAUUGUAGAAGAUGGAAGGGAGGCUAAAGGGAGACCAGAAAGAAGGUGCUGCAAGUUUCCAGAAGUGUAGCAUCAUUUUUUCCCACCAAUAUCUGUGCAAAAUAAAAGAAAAAUACAAAAUAAAAGAAAUGGGACUUGCAUGGGACUAUUUCUGGACAAUACUCAGGUGCAUAUAUCUCUCCCAGGGCAGAUACAUUUAAUUUCUGAUUUGAAAUCCUCUAGGGAUUUUUUUUCUAUAGUGAUUGAGGAAGCUUACUGUAAUCAGGGUUCUCCAAAAAGAUAGAGGGUAUAUAGAAAGAUAUUUAUUAUGAGGGAUUGGCUCACAUAAUUGUGGAGGCUGAGAAAUCCCACAAUGUGCCAUCUUCAUACUGGAGAAACAGGAAAGCUAGGUUGUAGUUCUAGUCCAGAUCUGAAGAUGUGAGGACCGGGGCAGGGGCCAAUGAUGGAAGUUCCUCCCUGAGUCUGGAAAGCCUGAAAUCCAGGAACUCUGAUGUCCAAGGGCAGGAGAAGAUGGGUGUCCUAACGAAAGUAGACGGCAAAUUUGCACUUUUUCUGCCUUUUUGUUCUAUUCAGGCCCUCCCUUAAAAGACUGGAUGACGCUUACCCACAAUGGUAAAGGAUAUCUUCUUUACCUGGUCUACCAAUUCAAAUGCUACUCUCUUCCAGAAACACCCUCACAGACACACUCAGAAAGAAAUGUUUUACCAGCUGUCUAGACCUCCCUUAACCUAGUCAAGUGGACAUAAAAAUCAGCCACCCCAAAAGCCAAUCACUAAGAUGAUGGAGCCACAAGACAGAAGCAUACUGAAUCAGUAAUUUGUGGCAUAGAGCAGUUGGCUGACAGAGUUACCUAUUUUGCAUUAGCAAGAAAUAAAUCUUUGUUGUGUCCAGCCACUGAGCUUUGGGUAUAGUUAGAUAAAUUAGCCUAUCUUAACUAAAACAUCAGGUGGGUGAAGAUGCUAGUUUUCAUUUGGAUGGAAAUGGAAAAUCAUGGGCAUAGAUGGAACAAUUUAGGGAGACAGUUCAGAGAGAGGAGAGGGGACAGGGGCCCAGCCCAGGGAAUUCCUGUGAAGAGGAAACUCCAAUGCCACAGGUGGCAGGUACUUAUGUGAAUAAAUAAAGCAGACACUGUGAUAAGAACUAAAAAUAAUGAUAUUCAUCUAAAUUUGAUACUUACUCAGUAUGCUGACAUUUAUGUUUAAUAGAAAAAUAGGUCCAAGAUAUCCAGUUUUUGAGAAUUCCAGUUUUUCAAGGAAUACACAUUUUUAUUUUUUUUUCAACGUUUAUUUAUUUUUGGGACAGAGAGAGACAGAGCAUGAACGGGGGAGGGGCAGAGAGAGAGGGAGACACAGAAUCGGAAACAGGCUCCAGGCUCUGAGCCAUCAGCCCAGAGCCUGACGCGGGGCUCGAACUCACGGACCGCGAGAUCGUGACCUGGCUGAAGUCGGACGCUUAACUGACUGCGCCACCCAGGCGCCCCGGAAUACACAUUUUUAAAUUUGAACACUCUUAGUUUUUAAAAGUGGCCAAUUUAUCUUAUUAAAAAUUAAAAAAAAAGUCCAUUGUAUUAGACAAACUUGGUGUCCUGGCCAAAUAACACCUGUGGACCUCGCCUACACCCAUAUCAUCAUCUGAAUAUCUUCAAAUUUUAUUUUCCCUAAAUACAUGGAUACACAAGCAUACGCGCACACACAAGCAUACGUGCGCGCGCAUACACACACACACACACACACACACACCCUAAUUUUUGACUUUAAGCGAAUUCUGCUUUUUAUUUUGUAUAAGUUGGCAUGGAAAAGGAAAAUAGAGAGAAUAAAAAGAGAGAGAGAGAGAGAGAAAGAAAAUCAAAAGCAGGCAUUGUAUAUGGAUAAGUGAUCAGAAAGAAUGAAUCUCCUUAAGGUUCUGCUGCUCUUAAACACAGCCUAACCAGCAGGACAGAGAAGAGGACAAUCUGAUGCCAGUAAUGAUAACUUCCCAAUAUUAAAGAUGUGAUAACUUGAAUUCUGGAAAUGUUACAUAAAUAUAACUUAUCUGCUUAUAAUAGACUUUGUUCAGAUUACUCACACUGAGUGUCUGUGUGUGUGAAUGUAACUGCUCCAUCAUGGGUAGGUAGUUAUUUUAACGUAUUAUUGGAGGAGAAUUAAGAGGCAGAACCUUACUCUCAGUGGCAAUGUAUCAAAUUAAAGUUAUUGUUAAAAGUGGUUUAAACAGAAAUAUAUUGCUAUUGAAAUAAACAUUUUCAGCGUUUCCUUUAGAUUGGCGUAAGUCCAUGGUAGAGUAAAAGAUUGCAGCAGUGGAAGACGGACAGAAGGAAAUGGCUAGUCCAGCACAGACAGACAAAAAGGAAUGUGAAACAGCAGUUGAGAGUCAUGAAGGAUGGAAUGGGAAGCUCCAAAAAAUGGAACAAUGCUUCCGGAAAAAAAGAAGAAGAAAAGGAAGAAUAGGGGAAAUGGAGGAGAGGCAAGAUUCAAAUUGAAAAUUGCUGACAAUUUUCCUAAAAUAGAAGAUCUAAAUUCUCAAAUGGUCUCACCCUCUUGAGUGCCAACUAAAAUACAUAUUACUUAAGUAAUCCACAGCUCAAUACAAGUUAGUGGACAUAAGAAAUCAUUACAAAGAAAGACAAAACCCUAAAAGGAAAAACAAAGUAUGCUACAAAGUUUGUCGAUGAGAAAAGAUUAAAAGAAAAAAGAAGAAGGCGGGGGGAAGUAAUUUAAAUAAUCAGGUUAGAAAUACACUGUUUUACGUCAAAGUUAUAGAACACAUGGAUCACUUGCUGUGAUUUCCCACCAUUAUUCCAAUGUCAGACUUUGCUAGUCAGUCAUAGUGCACUUCCCUUGAGCUAAAGUGUGUCCCGGGCACUUAUUCCCACGUUGUGCUUGGCAUUUGAGAUGAGCCAUGGUUGCUAUUCCUGAGCAGCCAAAAGAGAGUAUGGACCAUGGCAGAUUAUAGGCAGUCACAACAAAAAGUUUCACCUUUUUGCAAAAAGAGUAUCUUCCCUCUGUCUUGCAUGGCCACUCACACGGGUUCCAUGGCCGAGUGACAUGUGCGUUUCUUCCUGGCAGGAUUUUCCAGCUGUAGGGUAGACUCACUCAACUGUAACUAUAAUCCUCACUCAGCCUCCUUCCCCUCUCUCAGUUAUUGGGCAUCAGGGCUUUUCAUCUUUCCCUUAUGUUUAUGGUCUAGUUCUUGGGAAGAAAAAUAUCUUACUUGUAUAUUUUUUCAGUACUGUAUUAGUAUGGUCUGUCUAACAGGUUUUCCCAGUGUACAGCACAGAUGCAGUUUUAUCCUAAUUUUAUGCCAUGUCCAUUUCACACAAAUGUACAGAUGAGGAGAAAUGUUGCCAUUUCCCUUGAAAGUUCUGCUAAUCUCUACUUUUGAUAUUCCCAAACUAUGCAAGGUUUUCUCUGGUGUUCAAUGUUGGAAUAAAUUGUAUUGUAAAUCCUAAAACUACUCGGACUAUGGUAUCAUAUUACAAUGUUUCUCACCUAUUUCCAUCAAAGUAGCUCUUAUGACAGGGAAGAAGGAAUGCUUACCUCCAGUUAUUUGGAGGUAAAGUUUUUUUUUUAAAUUACAAGGACUUUAAAAAAAAAGUUUAUUUACUUUAUUUUUGAGAGAGAGAGAGAGAGAGAGAGAGAGAGAGAGAGAGAGAAUCUCAAGUAGCCUCCAUGCUGUCAGUGCAGAGCCCCAGGCAGAGCUCAAUCUCAUGAAGUAUGACAUCAUGACCUGAACUGAAAUCAAGAGUCCAAUGCUUGGGGCGCCUGGGUGGCUCAGUCGGUUGGGCGUCGGACUUCAGCUCAGGUCACGAUCUCGCGGUCCGUGAGUUCGAGCCCCGGGUCGGGCUCUGGGCUGAUGGCUCAGAGACUGGAGCCUGCUUCCGAUUCUGUGUCUCCCUCUCUCUCUGCCCCUUCUCUGUUCAUGCUCUGUCUCUCUCUGUCUCUCUCUGUCUCAAAAAUAAAUAAACGUUAAAAAAAAUUAAAAAAAAAAAAAAAGAGUCCAAUGCUUAACUGCCUGAGCCACUGAGGGGCCCCUUAAUUAUAAGUUUUAUCACACAAAGGAUGAAAUAAGUGUUUCUUCUUAAAUGACAAUAAUAAAAAUAAUCUCAAUUUUAUGGAAAGACAUGGAGAUUCUUUCAGAAAAUCCCUGAAAUUCUCAUUGCUGCUAUCAAGUUUACAUUAUUUUAAUAUAAAUUGUAUUUCUCUUCUCAUCGCUACUAUGAUAGGGUAAAAACUAAUGGUAAAGUAUGUCAAAGCACCUAGGCUUCAGUAACAACAAAACAAAAUCAGCUAAUUCCGUGAGUGGUACAGCAAUUAUUGUUUUCAGAAUAGGUUUCUUAAUUUAUGAAGAAUGUGUAACACAAGUACAUAUAUAGGCUAUCUACAAACAUAAUGCAAAAUAAUGAAUACUCAACAGAUCCCUUCACAAUUGUGUGAACAGUGGACACAAAACAGUUGGCAAGGAAUGUAAAUUGAGAUUGCGGAAUACCAUUUUCCAAGGUAAAUAAGAAAUCUCUUUUCUAAUAGAACAUAUUUUAUGUUAUGUAUUUUAUGUGCCCUCUAUUUUUUUUCAAAUCUAGAACAACAUUUAUUUUCAAUAUUAAACCUAAUGUCUGUGUGUGCCCUCUAUUCUUAAUUUAUAUUUAGUAGCAGCAUUUGGAAGUAAACCAUCAACAUAUAUGAUUCAUUUACAUGGACCAUGGAAACAAAUCCUUAAAUGAUGUGCUUUUUUGAUUUGUAACUGAUUUAUUAUGCCUUUUAUAUGAUCUGUUUAUUUUACUCUUCAAUCUGUCCUUUGGUUUGAAACCAUAAUUAUUUCUUAAGAACAAAAUAAUGGAAUGAGUUAGAAGUUCUAACCUUGUUCUGCUGUGGGGUAUGUGUGAGUGUGCAUGUGUGUGUGUUUUCUGUGAUCCAUAUGUAGUCUGAAACAAAGAAAGUGGAGGUUUAGAUGUUUAAUUUGUGUUCUUGUUUGAAUUUCAAGGUUUGAAAAAAUUAAAUUUGAGAGGCAACAGUGUGAAAAAAAUAUGAUUGAUGUAGAGGUCUUCUAUCACUAACUGCAUAAUUUGACAAAAUUAUUUGAUCUAAAUUCACACCUAUAAUGUGAUCAGAGAUAAGCUUUGUUUUCCUUCCAGAACUAAAGUUCUAUUUCUUGAUAUAUUCAUAUUCUGUGGCACUGACAAUAUUUCAGCAGCCUGAUGACUUAUAGUACAUUGUCUCAGGGAAUGUAAAUCAUCAAAAGAAUUUUACAAAACGAUUUCUGGCAAUUUUUACUGCUUAUUGAAAAGUUCUUGAUGGUUGAGUUCAUCAAAAGUGACAACUAACAAUUAAUUGUAUUUUUUCUCACUACAGAUUUGAAGAAAAAUACUGACUACAACCAGCAUUUAAGACCCCAGGAAACGUCACUGUUUUUUCUUCAGAGAGCAUAGGAUUUGGAUCUACCAAAGCAGCAUGGAUUAAUAUCUUGAUAUAUACAUUUAAUGGAAUAUAUGAAGGUAUAAAGUCAGCCCACACAAUAAUAGUUAAGUAGUUGUUGCCCAGUUGAAAUCUUCAACAAUACUUUGAAUCACCUUUUUUUAAAAAUAGAAUUUAAAAGCACAA
rnacentral:lncRNA from 1 species